rnacentral:lncRNA from 1 species
ACAUUGAGGACGAAGGGAACGCGCUUCUGUCCUUCUGUCAUUGGACUGAUCAUUUCUUUUGGCUUUCUAGGCCAUAGAUUAGUGAACUUUCUCUUCUAAUGAAAUAGAUCUUUCAAGUUUUCGUAUGAGUCUACUAGUCAUAGGUUUCUAUUUUGUUAGUUCUACCAGAGAUAGGUAUGGAAGCCACUAUGAGUAUAUAUCCAGGUAUGCUUCUAACUUCACCUCACGCCAUAAAUGGAAUCCCUAUCAUGAGCGCAACUGUAUUUACAAGUUCAGUAGCCUGAGUGAGCUUUCUCCUCAAUAUGGAUGUGGUGAUUGUUCAUAAACUCCUUGAAAAUCAGACAGACUUAUUAUCAGUGCUCCAAGCUCCAUGUGUUCUAGGGCUAAGACUACGUUGGUGUAGGCUCCCCUUAUCCUUCCUCUGGCAUUCGCCGAUCGAUUUCUAAAUGAGUGGAAUUUCGAUUCUCUAACUGCUCAAAUAGCAAUGGUUUCCUAUUCUGCAUUGACCCUAGGAUUGGCGGCUUGGCUUAAAGAAUAUGGGAUUCUCUUUCCGGUGGAAAAUUGCAUCUGAAAAUGAGACUGAGACCUACUUUUCAAAUUGUCAGAGGCUAUGAGAUCCACUUUCUUUUGGAAAGGAGAAGGGAGAAGCAGCAUUUCAACUGUGUGAGGAUGGACUCUAGACCCACUCGUUCUGAUUCUGUGAUUGUAAUUUCUCAAAAUGGAUCAUAAAGUUGAUCCUGUUUACUAACUCACUCUCGAAGUAGAAGUACCGGACCAGGUAACCAGAAGAUAAGGCCACUCGGCAAGACUGGACUAGUUUAACACGGCUAUCUAGUGGAACACUAUAUAUAUAGGACUUGUAGAGCUUGAAAAAGCUUGUUUUGGUCUUUUUUUUUCUCUUUUCUGGGCACUGAACUUCAUAGACAGACUUACCAACUGAUGAGUCAAAGUAGCAAAUUUCUUCUUCCUGGGAGGGGCGGACUCUACGUUGGUAGAUCGAACUUUCAUUUCUUCCUUCCAUUUCAUCUGUUCAAGUAGUCUCCUUUUCAAGUAGAUACGCUUUGAUACCAGACUGGUGUGCAUUCUAUGCUUACCCAGCGAGUGAAGGAGCGAGCCAAUUCCUCUGUUCUGGUAGAGCCAAUUCCUUUGAAGAAUUGUUUACUUUCUUGUCUUUCCUCCAGCGAACAGAGUGGAAGACCAGGUAUCUUCGUAGUUGGCUCUGGAAUGAUUGCUUGUAGGAUUUCAUAUUUUCCAGUGAUCAGCUUAGUUGGAAGAGAUAGAUAGGAGAAGCGAAUGCCAGAUGCGCGGUGUGCCAAUCAAUCCAAUUUCGUGAGAUCGAGUCAAGAUAAGAAGGAAAAAUUCUUUGGAGUAAAGUCGCCUGGAAGAAAGAAUAGGAAUUGAUCUAGCUAUAGUAUAGAUAGAGUGUCAGAUGAAAUGCUUGACAAGGCAAGGAAACAGAACUUCCACAUCCUCUGUUCACACUACCUGGAUUGGAAUUGGUUCUAUCGAGAUAUACUGACUUGAAACAGGAAUUUCUUGGUAACUGCUGCUUCUUUGAAGCAAGUGCUUUCGGGUUGGCUCUUCUGAUAUGUGUAUUUGCUACCCAUACGGAACAAUUUCAUUGAUGAAAGAUGGAUGGCUAUUCUCCACAUUUGCCAGCAUAGUGCACUUCUAUUUCGUGAUUCCUUUCUUUCUGUCGCCAUUUGAAAAUGGUUUUCUCCUCCUGGUUUUAGUCACACACGUCUUUUCCACCUAGGAAGGAUGCCCCUACGAUCAUUCCAUGCUCUGCCUUCGCCCGAGCGGUCCCCAGGGAAGGAAGCCAAUAAUGGGAGUGUCAGGGAGGAACUUCAUUAAUGAAAGGAUUUGCACUGCCCCACCGUGCCGCAGGGACGAACUUCAAUAGCCCAUCAUAGCACUCUCAGUCAGGGGGUUAGGGAACUCUUGAAGAUAUCGAUAGAAUGACAUUUCUUUUUCAUAAGUUUCAGUGGACGCAGAGCCAACAAGUGCAGUUUUUCAGCGUAAGGUCAGGUUACAGAAAGGCCUAUUUUGAUAAGCAAGGCAUUGCAAACAAAUAGGUAGAGCAGAGAGCUAACCUAAGGAGCGAGCUUGUUGUAGUUGGUCUAAAGGGGGAAAUAAAGGACUGUCCCGCUACUACUUCCUUGAUUCCCGGGAAAGAAGGAAGACCGAGGGUAACUAAAUUUUCCUUCUGAAAAAUCUAUAUCCCAGCUCGUUUUCAUCGAGCCUUCCUCCCGUUUGGAGUAUAGCCAAGUGGUAAGGCAUCGGUUUUUGGUACCGGCAUGCAAAGGUUCGAAUCCUUUUACUCCAGAGCAUACUUAUUCUAGAAAAUAGAAAAAGAAAAAGAAAGUCUCAUCCCUAAUAAAUAAAUGAAAGUAGAUUUACAUUAUUUUUGUAUUUCUAGGGGGAAUGUUGAGGCAAACUUACGAUGCUGACAAGCUGGUUAGGUGCCGAGUUGGAUUAGACAUUGCAGGUUUCAGUUUAAGAAUUGGGAAGAGGUUAAGAACCUAGUGGAAUCCACUGCGAGGGGAAGUGCUGAAGUGAAGAAAAGCCCCAAUUUUUGAGAGGAUUGCAUAAUUGGAGAGUAGAAUUGGAGCAAAGCCGUGAUCUGGUAGGCGACUGGUACAAGUGCUAGACUGGAGCUAGACAAGAAGCGUUGAGCAGGAACUUGAGCAAUUCCAGAAACCUUAGAAGAAACUGGAUAUGUGGCAACAAGAAGGGCUUAGCCAGAAUCUUGAAACAGGUAUGAUACCGGUACAUAUCAGCCUGAUGUGAUGUACUUGAAUUCAUUCAUGUUCUGUGGAGUCUUUCUUUUAAUAUUCUUAUUUUUUCUCAGUUUAAUUAGGAAGCAAAUGCGAUUUCAAGAUGAACUCAACCUCGAAAAGUAAUUCAAUUAGCUGUGCAGUUAGCCCUUCUAUCUUUAAUAAUUGGUUGAAAUGGAUAUUGCCUGUCACUUGAAAAUAAGGUUGUUUCAUUUAGAAUUCAGCAAGUUUCUUAGAAAAUUGUUGUUAAACAGGUUGACGUUCCACUGGGAAUGGAAUAACAAAGGCUUUUGGCAGUUUGUGGAUCGAGAUGUGAUUCUCUUUUUGAGUAAUAGUUUCUUUCAUUUGGUGUGCUCUUCCUAGAACCGGUAAUAGGAAAAAUUUGGUGCAUUCUACUUUGCUGUUAUGGUAUUUACAAUCCUUGAAUUUUUUGAACCUGACUCUCAUUAUCUGUCUUCAUGGUCUUGAGGGUAUUUUGGAUAUCGUGGAGGUAACUGACGAUGAAUUCGUCUCUUGCCUCACCGAUCUGAACACGGAGUUUCCGAAGCUACAAGAGUGCUUGGUUAAACGGUGCCAUUAAGUUUCAACUAUCUUUAACCUUACUACUUCAAGUGCAAUUAUCAACUCCUUGCAAAAUUGUUGGCUUUAUCAUCUACAAAAGGCAACUCUGGUAUGAAAGGAAAUAGAUAAUUAGGUUCCACUCACUACAUCAACUAAAGCAACUGCAUCUGGAGCACUUACCAGGGAAAAUCGAAUAAAUAAUGACAUAGUACGAGGGGAUUUUUUUCUCACUAUUGCCAUCCUGUGUUCAGUUCCCAUUUCAUAGUAGGAGACAGACUCAAAGUCAAUAGAUUCCUGUCCUUUUGUAUAGAAAUAGGCUUGGUCAAGUGCUUAAAAAAGAGGUGACCCGAAUGAUUUCAAUGAAUUGCUAUUUGGUCAGAUUGGAACAAUUGGAUUCGAAAGGAAAGAAAGACUGUGAACAAAGAGGGCCGCCCAUGAUCGAUUGGAUUCGGCAAAGAAAGUAGAGGGCCCGCCCGUGUCACCACCAGUCCACCGAACCAGCUGUAGAUCGCUAACUCUCUUGUCGACGCCCGAAACUUAUGUAUGAGUUAAGAAUGAAUUGUUCCCGAGUAGAGAGGGCAGGAUAAGGAUUCAGUAAGAAGGAGAGUCUACUUAUGGAAAUGCCAUCCUCUCUUUCCUCAAUAACGGAGUGACUAGCUACCCCGACUUUUUAUUCCAGUUCCAUUCUUACUGGUGCAGGAGUCCAAAGUGCAUCUUCCAACUCCCUAACUGCGUCUUCCAUGAAGUUCGAGAGACCCCUCACAUGCCGCUGCCCAUGAGACUCGCCUUUAUACACUUUGCACACCGCUUCGACUAGACCCCGCUACUACCUCGUAUCCAAAUACCUGCGAUCUAGCUCAUUCUUUUUUAAGCCCUGCAAGCCUAAUAGAACCUUGUUUCCUGGGCCAAGUCAGCCUAUAAGUAAGUAGGGCUGAAGACAAUUUGUUUGUUAGUUUUUCAAUCUUCUUCCUUCUAUGCUUAGAGUAAGUGGAAAUGACCUCCUUGAUCAGCAAGUAAGCGAGCGGUAGUUCAGUCUCCGACAAGUGAGGCCGAAUAGCCCCAGGUGUCCUUUUCCUUCUAAACUAGCUGCUCUCGCUUGACUCUUCUAGUGAGCAAGCAAACUGGUCAGGGAACAGGGUCGGAUCAAAGUAAGGAAUGGGAAUAGCACUCACUCGUUGAAGGUAAGCCAGAAACAGGGGUUGUCCUCUCCCUUACUUAAGUCCUAGUCCAUCUUUUCGUGCCCCAAAGGGGAAGUCAAGCAAUAAUGAGGGAACUUGACCCACACCUGACGAAAGAGUUUGGUAGCUCGAAGGAAGCAGAAGCAAAACCUGCUUUCUUUCUGUCCCAACCUCCAAGGGUUCCUCCCUGUAUGACAUAGUCCAUUGGAUUGGGGCAAUGGUACGCACCUAUGUUUGGUGUCCCCUCUCUCACUUCCUCAUCAGAUCCUGGUCCCAAAGGGCAAUACAUUGAGUCGGAAAGACGGGGGGCUUUCAUAAAUUCCAUUCUAUAGCCGAACUAGCCCCUGGAUCAGCUCUCAUAGUGGGAGAAUCAGAGUCAAGUUAGGCGCAAAAGAGGGGGUUGACAUCAUUCGCCAUGAUUGGAUCAAUCAGACUCCCCCACAGGAAAUGCCAAGGGGCGCCCUUUCUCAUUAUCAUCUACCGCCCAUUUCUUCAUCAUCUGUUGCUGCCUUAUGUGCGUAAAGUAGGCUCAGCUUCUUAGGUUUCUAAAUAUCUUGUAGUAGCCGAAGGUAGUCCAGUCCGCUUGUUAGAUUGAAUUGAAUCUUAUAUAACCUACGUAGCUAAAGAGAAAAUCAUAAUAGUCUAACUGGACCUCUCAAAGGUAUAAAUAAGUAGGCAUUAGUCUUACUGGUUUGGUCUUUUUCUUUUUUUGUUAUGAUGCCCACAUUUCAUACUUCUCAAUUCUUAUUUAUUCAAGGGUUCGUAUGUACUGAGUGACUCUAGGUCUAUUCAGAUGCAGCUUCAAGAGAGCUUUAUUCGGCCUUUGUAUGCCCGUCUUCCCUUCCUGUCUAUCUCCUUCGGUCAGGUAGUUCUGCUUCCGAUGUCGGAGGAGCAGGGUGGGAUAGAAGGGUAGUUUCUGAGUUCGAGAUGUCUGAGCUUGGAGGUUCCGCUUCUCUAAUGUGAUAAUAAAGCAACAAGCAACGCCGCUCCCGUGCGCUCAUCCCUUGCUUGUUCUUGAGCGCUAGUCAUUCAUCCCUAGCUGGGUUCUUGGGAUAUCUUGAUUCUCUUUAUGAUGAUGUAAGGGUCAGCAACAAUGAAGAAGGAAUCGAUUAGAAGUUCGCGCCAAUCGAUAUUCUAUAGGAGUAGGAGGUAGCGCGAAUCCCCUCUUUCUUCGUUUAGAAGAGUGCUGGACCUCCACAACAUCAAACCAUAGAACACAGCUCCUUUCGGUCGAACCCUAGGAAAGACGACUUUACCUUUUUUGUAGAUAGUCUGAGUUCGAGCUACUGUAGUCUCCCCCGUUGACCUUCUUUUUUAGAUAGAAUCCUCAAUGAGUGGAAAGGACUCCCAAACUUGCUCCACAGUACUAUACCAUACAGAGCCGCGCCCUUGUGAUAUGAUAAGAAGAAAAGGGGCCAGGCCGCCCUCUUUUCUUUUCCGCACCAAGCCUUCUUGUAAAAUCGGGUGUAUAGCUCAGUUGGUAGAGCAUUGGGCUUUUAACCUAAUGGUCGCAGGUUCAAGUCCUGCUAUACCCAAAACAAAAAAAAUCACUCUUGUAUUCGUAAGGAUGCAUAGUAGCCUUCAAAGAGCACUCUUUGGCCUUGAGAAAAGCCCCUUUCUCAUCAACAUCUCGACUUCGCUCGUUGUUUGAGGUAAGUAUAAAGGAGAUCAGAUUGGCUCGGUCAUUGAUAGGCCGGCCUUCUCCUUAUUCAUUGGAUAGGGCGCGGGGGAAAGUCAAGUCAAGCACUAGUUAGUUGGGGUGGGACGCACCAAAGCAGCAUUCGUUGCACUAGCGCCUUAUCUUUUGAAGCUAAACAGAGGCUCGAAAGACGGAGUACGUCUGAAGUCGUUGGCUGCCUUUUUGUAGUGCGCAAGUCAGAAUGAACUUCUUCUGUUCUGCGAAUCUACUAACGAGAACUGCCAUACAGUCCUAUCUUUUUUUAAGAAAGAUCGUAGAUGAACGUUUAGUUUCGUUACCUAAGUAGUUGAGCAAUUCAUUCCAAGGUAAACAAAGAGGUAUUUCCUUUUCUCGUUUAGUCCUUCUCUCCUUCCAUCCCAGUAGGCCUAUUCAUGCUUUUUUGCUAUCCAUCUUGAUCAAAUAGAAGAAGGGGAAAUUCAGACUAGGCAAAACACCUCAAAAAGUGAAAAAAAAGAUAAAACAACUUUCUUAUUGUCAAGUAGUAAACCAUAGUUCUCAUCCUAGGAAACCAUAUCGAUCAUCGGUUCAGAGCUCCCAACUACGAAGCUCUUUUCUAGAGCGAGUCAACAAUUCGUGGAUCCAUGGUUUGGAUGAAGCUAUGUACCCGGGUAGAGAUGAUUUGUCUCAAAGAUGUUCCGCUCAUCCAAGAAUCUGAAACUUCAUCUACAUAAACUCAUAAAAAGCCCUUUCCUUUCUUUUCUUGACUUAAAAAGGUAAUCAAUCCUUUCUUUUCAUCUUUUAUCAAGUCUUCCUCUUCCUGAUUGAGUCAAUCAGGGAUAGAAAUUCGGAUCAACUAUGAGGAGUAGGGCUGCUGGGAAAGUGAAUGAACUCUGUUCUAGGCAUUUCCAAUAAGUUCAGUGAAGUCAGGGCGAAGCCUUUUUUGAGAGGGAAAAUACACUCCCAAUGAUAUUCCAUGAUGGAAGGAAUGAGUGGAAGAUUUACUGGAGGAAAAAAAUACGAUACUUUUCUAGUCAUAUGUAGGGCUACCUAUCUAGUUUCGUGCUUCGGGCGUACCAGAUUCAAUAGGCUAGGUUAUAGCUGACAGAUUUCUUUAAGAACUAGCCGCCUAUAAGCCUCGCUAGUAGUAUUCCUGCCCAGUGCCGGAGUAGUGACUCACAAGGUAAGUUCUCCUCGAUGCAUUUCCAACACUCUCUUUUUCUACGUACACUUGUGAUUCCUCAGUAGGUAGGGACAACGUUCGAGAUCUCAUCCGACCGUCUAUUUCUCACUGAUUGGGAGAUUGGAUUGGAAUCCGAGGAGAACUGAUUGGAUGUCAUGGAACGAAUGGGGCACUAUGUUGGUUACCCACUGCUAGCCUAGAAGAGAUUUCUCUAUUUGUUGAAAGUGGAAAGGAGUCAUAUUUGAAUCGGAAAGUUGGGCUCGUUCACUCACACCUUUCUUUGAUUAUCGAUGACUUGGCUUCUUGCUCAAGUAAGCACCCGGCAUACCAAUUCAUUAUCCUUGGGGCUCGGCUCGCUCCUUCCUAUCUACGUUAUUCUUUCUUUGUUACUCUCGUAAUGACGUUCCGAAAGAAAUCAAGGUUACUAGGUCACAGCUCUGAUUCUUCUUCCCUUAUUGAACCUUCCCGCAAGAAAUCAGUGGAAGUGGGUCCACCCCUACAACUCAUCAAAUCUGCCUUCUUUUCUGUUCUGCGCUGUACAUAUUCUCAAGUUAUGAGAAAGAAUGGAUUUGAAUGCAAUUUUGAAUUAAAAAAAUAAACGAAUGAAGAAUAUUUUUACCUCUUAUGUGAUAAGCAAUCAAAGCAUUUGAACUGCUCAAUGAACAAUAAAGAAAGAGCUAAGGUAAAAAAGUAUAUGUGUUACUAAUAGUAAACCCAUUUUAUUUUGAGUUUGCUUUUAGCUGAACAUGUUAUAACUACAAAUGAGGUGAGGCUUGAUUAGGUGGCUUUGCAAGAACUAGGGAGGAACACAAGUUAUGUACUUUAGGCUAAACAUAUGAAUUUAGAAGAUCAACUUUUCCAAUUGGACAUAAACAAAAGCAACCAAUAAUAUAUAUAUAUAUAUAUAUAUAUAUAAACUUCCAUAAUAUUUUCUCUAUGGUGAAGUAAUUUCAUCGAUAACCACUAAACGAUUAAGUAGCGAUGUAUGCAAAGCUAGACAACGAAUAUUUCAUAAUACACUCGUUCUGCAUAUCUUUAGGAUAAAAGAAAAAACUGCGAAAAAAUCCAUUUUCCUAAAUAAAAAGAUCAAGAAAUCUAUUUUGUAUGGUUCUUAUUUCGUUGAAAACGUUUCCAUGAGACUUUCUUUCAUUGAAGAAGUCCAUGACUUGUUCUAGGUGAUAUGAGGUUGAACAGGCUUUAGAAAAAAUGCAAAGAAGGGUACAUGAGGGUGGAAUAAAAAUCAAAAAGAUGACCCCUUCUUUCUUCCUGAGCAUUACCGAUAAAUAUUCAUUCUUUAUACGUUAGGUUGGGUUUCAGAUGUAUAUCAUUUAUUAUAUGAAACCAAAAAGAAGAAAUGACAAGAAAGUUGUAUAUAGAUGGAGGAAUAAAUUAUGAUGUGGAAAACAAGGCAGGGGUUCAAAUCCUGUCAUCCCUACCUAUUACUUCUCCUAUGGGCAGUAACGAGGGAUCAAUUGAGAUCGAUUCAAAUUGGACAAAAUUCAGAGUUUCAUUUUUCUAUAUGCAUGCGGUACAAAAAUCAUCCUUUUCUUUACUGCUUUAUCUCCCGGAAAGCGCUCUUAGUUCAGUUCGGUAGAACGUGUGUCUCCAAAACCCAAUGUCGUAGGUUCAAAUCCUACAGAGCGUGAUUCUGUUCUUGUUAUGUCGAAUCCAAAAAAAGAACUUAUAUAAAUAUAAGAAAAUGAGACAGUAAUGAGGUCCAUAUCGUCAUCGUAAUAAAAGGAAAGAUCUGCAAGCAUUCUUUAUGGGAGUCGGGGCUUUCUGAUUUGAAGUUGUUGGAAAAGAAAGGACUCAGCUUCCGCAAAAGUGAUCGAUGGAGAAGCUCAAAAGUCUCAAUCCACCACUAGCUAUCAUUCAAGUUUGCACUUUUCGAGCUCAUCCUUACCUUUGCGCUUUAGCUGCUUGUUCCCACUAACCCAUUUCAUUUUCUUAGCUGGAUCCUUCAGAAAGUAUCUCUUAUCGCUUGUCCAGAGCCUGGAUGUCAACCUUAGCCAGAGCAUGUAUCUCAUCAGUCUCCAUCUGAGCCUCAAUCGUGAACUGAAGAUGACGCGCGGUCAGCGAGGAAUGAAUUCGAAAACCCGUACUUGGAGCAUUAUUGCACUUGGGAUAAAGUAGAUGUCGAAACAGCUUCUUCUUCAAGUUCGCUAUCGUGAGGGAUGUCUAUGAUAAUAUGCUCACCGCAUAUGAGUUAGUUCAUUCCAUGAGGUCGAGGAAAGGUUGAAACCAUUUUAGAGCUAGGCGGGGUCUCUCAGAUGCAGACUAACCCAUUUCGACGUGAAGCAUCGCAUCAGCUUGUGAUCCUAAAUCUGGUGAUUGAUUAUUGACUUGUCAAGGGCAGGUUGGUGUCUUAAUGUGGAGGAAUUCCGUACCUAAGAUAAGAAGUUUCAUUUCAUGCCUACCGUAGUCCCUAUUUUAUUGGGCAUAGUCCCCCUUACCUACUCCCGAGAGUAGAAAAUCAACAUUUAUGUCGUUCUUAAUAAGAAAGAGAUGCUCGGGUAGCAAAGUUGCCUACCAUUAGGUAUUGUUUGAGCCCAUAACUUCCAUUAGGAGAGGCAUCCUUGCUCAGUUUCAACUGGUGGUUACUUAGGUUUAUUUUCUCUACCGAAUUGCGUUUCAAAUUCAGACUUGUCUUUGUUAAACAACGCUUUCGGGUUGCCUAGACCAGAGAAUUCAAGAAAUAGAGACGCGCAUUGCCUAAUUGGUAGUUUAUUUCCCACCAUAGCUUUACUCAAGUGGAAAUCCUUUGAAUCGAACAAAAAGUUCGUAACCGCUAGGCUGCAUCGUCCCCUUCAACUAGAAUCAUCUAGAUUACAGAUUUCAGAACUGCAUUUUGCAAGAAGAGAGUGCCUCCCAUUCUCUGGAGUAACGAUAAUAAUAACACUCCACGUCACCUUCAGGCUUGGACCCAUGCCUUGCAUCUUCUUCUUUCUCAGAAAAGAACUCAGAUCGUUCAGAUUCUUUGCCAGGAGAGUCCUCGGCUUUCGAGCCCUACUCGUGGGAUUUUCUUUAUCCAUCAUUGCUAUUGGCAUCUUGGCGUUAAACAAUUCGUUUAUAUAAACACUUUUUACACAGCAGAAUCCUUCUCAGGUUGAUUUGUGUGCCACUCGUCAUCAGACAGUGAAACGUCCGGUCUAGCCCUUAGCUGAGGGAUCUUCACUCCUGUCCUGCCAUCCAUAUCCGUGCCCACCCGAACCAUGGGAAAGAAAGUUUGUCAUAAAUUACUUGUACUUGAGGGCAAUGAUAAAGUGAAGAAAAUUAUAGAAACAAUGAAAUGAAGCUAUGGCUCGAACUAUUGGAGAAGCCACCAUAGAAUAUAUCCAUGAGCUUCUCAAGCACUUCUUCUUCCAAUUACUUUGUGACGAUUUCAAGGAAAAGUGAAUGAUUUCAAUCAAGAAAAGAAUCAUAUGCUCGAUCCGUCGUAACAAGAGGGAUAAGAAAGUCUCAACUCCAACUGCGGGAGCAUUUACUAUUUGGAAGUGUGCGAACGUAGCUGGUGGAUCGGGGAAACAGGAAAUCCUUGUGGUAAUGCCGUGGAAAUGCUUUGAAUAUCAAAAAUAUAGGAUAUCGAAAGGUGAUGCGAGCGCUAGCUCAUCUUAGAAGUGAGGUGAAAGAUUUCUUUCAUUUCGCGAUCGAUCCUAUUUUGCUGGUGAGAAAGCAGAAAGGAUUGGAAAAAGUACCAACUUUCUUGUAAUUCUGUAUGCCAGCUCCUAUCAUAUGUGCUAAGAGGGCGUUAAGCGGCCUGGGACUCUUAUUUAUGAUCUUGUUUAGGAUUGGAAGAGCGGAAAAUCUAAGGUACAUCAGCAUGGGUUCUAUUCUCGUCUUUCAAGUACCUACCCUGGUAUCACCUAUGUAGAUUGGUAGGGCUUUAGGACGGACUCCAAAGUUGACUGUUGAAUCUCAGUAUGUAUGGCCAAGGCUCACUCAUUCAACCCGCGAGAAAAGCGAGUCUUGAACGAAGGAAGAAUAGUUGCAGGAUCCUGGGUUCGGUAUGAUCAUUCUUCCAAUUCAUACUAGCUACGAUCUUUCCCUGCUUAGAGGAUCCAGCAGUAAGGUACCUACCUAUGGCCAGUAAAGAACCCACCUAUGGCUGGCUCCUCGGACAGCUUUCGAAGCUUCUGCUUCACUGGUGUAACACAAGUGGUUCCUGGGCUUUAACUAACUAAGUGCUGGCAGUGAUUUUAGGUUGGUUUCAUGGUUUCUUCAUUAUUGUAGCCUGUGUUGCAUGUGUUUGCAGUAGCUUUGCAGAUUCAGGACUAUUGGCAAUAGCCGUUGACCGUCUAUCUUCUUCCCAGUUCCCAGAUACAAGAUUCUAGGCUUUGAGCAAUGCAAAAUGCUUGAUAGCCAGGAAGGCAUUUCACUGGGGUUCCUUUGGUGGAACUAAUUCUUUCUCUCUUUUCUUCAUAUCAUAAUUGAAUUGAUACCUGAAUUCAAAGAAGAAAUCAAGAGACAACGUUCCUGUUCCAGUUGGGGUCCAGACGGCUUUCAUACACACGGAUCUUUCCUUUCUUUUGGUCAUGCGCAGGAUUCAACUCAACUGAAUACAUUACAUAACAUAUUUUUGAUAGAUCGAUUCUUCUUGUCCGCAAGGGCAAUAACGUUCUAAAGAUGGGUAUGAUCGGUUGCACAACCAUAACUCAAAAUGGAGUAUUUCUUGACUACUUAUACAACUCUUUGGGGUCCAAAGAUACUCUAAAAUACUCAUCAGGUUCGAUACAAUAUUAAUAGUGCUUAGCACUAACUUCCUUCGACCGGACACCACCACUGGCUUGUACUUAAGAAUGGGUCUUGGCUGAAGGUAUCGAUAUCCGGUGCGAAUCAACUUGACACCAUGGUUACGGUGAGGAAGGAUCAAGUUUUAUGCUCGCGCUUAGUGGGAAACCAUACAAUUAUCAACUCUGCCUCCGUUCCCCCUCUUUACCCCUAUCUGAGCCCAAUCGCGAAACCCACUCCUCAAAUGAUGGAUUAGGUGAAAUGAAACAUGUACAAAUCGUUCUUCAAAUCCUUAGAAAUCAUAUUAGAGUCUUGCUGGAUCCAUUAACACAAACAAGUGCAAGCAUAUUAGAGGUAUGCCACAGGGCUCACUACUCGGAUUAACACUUUCUAGACUAAAUAGCUGGGCAUCGACAGCGACAAUCAGCGGAUGAAGGAGUGGAUGAAAAGGGUACCUGAGUGCUUGCAUGCCUGGAUCAGCCCAAUCCCUAUUAGUGAGUGAUCAAGCAAGGUCAAAAAGAAGAGCAAGCCCACGGCUAGGCGUAGUAUCAAGAGAUUGCUCGCCCGUCGCAUGCCUAACGAAUCCAGAGAAACAAGAAAAGCAUGACCAAUUGAAGGGGUCGACUGCCCAAGGAGACUAAAUUAACUAUUAAGUAAGGAAGGAGGGGAUUUAGUUACACCCACACCUAGCCCUUGGAUGAAGUAGGGCAGCAGCUAAUGGGUCAAGUUUUGAUACUAGUUCCUCAAAACAGCUUUUUGACUCUAUGGGACAUUUAUGGAAUUUCUUCCAUCGGCAAGAGUACCUUUGUUUCUCAACUUUAAUGAUUUUUGAGUCUCUCGAUACUAACUAAUUAGUUAGGGGAGGUGCUUACUUUUGUAGUUAAGGAUCCAAAGAAACAGGUCUGGGGUAUCACAAGAUGAAAGCGGAAUGCCUGAAGCAUAGAGAAGUGAAGUACAUUAUGAAUAAGGAAUGGUGGCACACUGGCGAAUGCAAACUCUCAGCUGAUAGGGAAGAGGGGGGCGGCUAGCUAGGGCUUACCUCUGACUCCCUUUUACUCCAGCAUCUCAAAUAAUACUAUAAAAUAUGUGCUUGCAAUAAACAGAAGCUAAAGGAAGAAAAGCAAUAAAACUAAUUCACUUGCUUCUUGGGAUCGAUAAAUGGCUUUUUUUCAUUUGGGACUGCCCUCUUCCAAGAGUUCAUCCACGAAAGGAAUGGGAUAUUUUUAUUAAUGGUAAGGCUAUUUAGUUUCCUAUAGUCUAUACACAAUCGCCAACUCCCACCCAUCCUACCUACAGGUACAGGACUUGAAAAGGGCAAAGGGCUUGAGCUUGGCCUAAUCACAGCAGCUGCUAACAUUUCAUCGACCAACUUUUCAAUGGCUGCCUUUUGAUCGUGCGAGUAUCUAUAAGGCCUGAGAUUAAUCGGCUCAGCUCCCUCCAGAAGAGGUAUUACAUGAUCAUGGGUCUGGUGGUAACUCUUUUGGCUCAUUGAAAAUGUCAGAGUCUCGGGUAAGUAACUUAUUCAUACUGUUAGGUAUUCUGGUUUCUUUGCUGGUGGCAUUCACUGGAAAAGCUUACACGAGCAUACAAAUCUCUCCUUGUUGUAACUGCACCCUUCCUCUUUCUACUGACCUCCUUGUCUGAUCCUGAAUUCCCUUUCAAACUACUUUCUUGCCUUCCUUGACCAAUGUUAUGGAUGGUGCACUGGUUGAGAAAAUAAUUGUCCCUUCCUUCUUAUAGCAACAAAAUCCAAUCUCCCCCUCAUACGAACCUACCUCCAUGACUUUCAUGUCAAACUGAAACUCCUUCCCUUGCAUUACCCAUAGCAUGCCAUCACAUUUGUGCUCACAAUACAUCUUAGCGCCAUUUGCUACUGUGAUUUCCAUAGGUUUAUACGGAGUUGAGUCGUAACUAGCCCGCUUCACAAUCUUUGGGGUCUACAAAACAGUGCGUGCUGCCACUAUCAACCAAGGCAAUCACUGGCACUCCGUUUACCUGGUAUCUCUGUCCAUAGUCGUCUCCUAUUUUGGAAGACUGAGACUUGCGACACAGCAGCAAUAUUAUUCAAAUAACAUGUCAUUCAAACGCAGCGCGCCUUGUUAAUUUCUCGUCACGUAAGUGAAUUUACGAAUAUGGAGCCCAGGUGCCCAACAAGUGAACUAUUUCCUCCUCCAGGAUUGUUGCUUUCCUUCUAUAGCCUCACGUAUGAAAAACGUGUGCCUUAUAGAGGGCUAGGCCACAAAUACAUAGCAUAGAUAACAAGGGUUUCGCCAAAGUAGACGCUCAAGCGAAACAUUCCACUUAUCGAAGAAGGGAUACAGGUAUUUCAAGUUCAAGAAGUAGGCAUUGAUCCCAAAGAAUGUAGUGAAAAUCUAGGCUAGGAGGAAUGCGUCAGAGCCGAGGUCAGGCAAAAGGUUGCUGGAUCUUUAUGUUGACCGGAAGUUAUUUCUUUUCAAUGAGGUUCAAUGUUCUCUAGAUUGCUUAGAAGUAGCCUGCCUUACUCGAGCCAACUAGGAUCAGAAGGUGUUGAUAGGGCUAGACUUUCUCUCAUGGGCGUGACCAUAUUAAAUAAAGGGUCUUUUCAUUGCUUUGGCCUGGAGCCGAGUAAGUAAGGACUUUGCCAGGUUUGAACUCCAAAGUCAUUUACGCCCAGUAUUUCCUUUGAUUCUUAUAGCCUUCGUGUCAAGGAGCGAUGCGAGCGGUCCAAUUGCACAUCAAUAGCAGCUGCUUUUAUCUCCGCAUUCACUAAACAAAAUGCUGAACCCAUGUUGGUAAUUCCCUCUAUGCUCUACUGUCUUGAACUAUUUUCUUUAGUUGACAUGGAGGCUUUAGUGCCACGUUCAAGCUAAAAGCUGUGAAAGCAAGUCAAGCAGUGCCAGAUGAUGAUAAAAUAGCGGCGCAUCCUUCUUUUGAAAAGUGGCCAAACGGGACUUUUCAGCAUAGUAUCAGAUGCCUUAUUUUGUUAGUUAGGAUCUCCUUCUCACUCCAAAGUAUGGUUGGUGUAUACUCGGCCUUUCCCACUGUAGUUUGGAGCUCACCCUUUAUUUACACUGACCCAAUCUACAAUCAACAAAAUGUAAUUUUAUAAGAAAGAAAUCAAGCGAAAGCUAACUGUCAGCUAUAAAUAAAUGCUUUUGCUUUCUAUCCAGCAGCUGAUGCUUUAUGUAGUAAAGAAGGAAAUUCUUGGAGUUAGCACGGUACUGAGGUCUCUGGAGCGAGUGACGGAUUAUAUCUUUUGGAACAUUAGAGGUUGUGGACAACACUCAUAGCUCCUCUAUUUCUCAAGGAUCUAUGCUUCCUGUUUGCACUCUUUCUAGGUCCAAUGCGAUAGAGAAGCAGGCAGUGAACGGAUUCAUCCUGCAAAAGUGGCCAUACUAAGAGCUCUGGCUAGUCCUUGCUUCAUGAGGUACAUACUUCUUCCGGUCUGCUCUAUUGCCGAGCUUCCAUUCUCGGACACCUACAUUCCCAAGAGGCUAGGGCAGGGCAAAUACAUGAAGUCGGAAUGAUUCCCACACCUGGAUUGAAUGCUCCGCCAAAGUAAACCUAAACAAUUAAUUGAAGGAAGUGUAGCCCGGCAUCGAUUUCACAUGUCGGUUGCCCAACCCAAUAAGUAGUAGUUUUUGAAUGAUUCGCGUUAGCCGGGAGUUAGAGAUGUACUUUCUAUUUCAGUGAAGUAACCAACCAAAAGAGAGUGCUAAAGGAGUCAUUCAGAAGUGAGUGAAGGGGUGCAGAAAAAAGCUGGUGAGCAAAGAAAGCUAAAAUUGUUAAUUAAACGGGCCUUGUUAAUGAAGUAUUUCGUUACCUUCCUUUAUUCUGAUUUUGACCAUUUAGUUGAACUGACUCUGUUAAUUCGCUCUCACGGUAAUUGGAUUGCAAUUUCCUCUGGAUUCAAUCUCAAUGACUGCUAGGAUUUCUUUCUACUUCUAUUUGUGGCAUAUAGAAUUUUACGAUAGAUGAAGCGGAAGAAGGAACAAGGCUUGAAGGCGGAUUAGCAAGGGAAUGAAUCUGAUGAAGCUGUUCCUCCGCUAGAAUAAGGGGGGCAUGAUCGCUGAUUUGACCGGGCAGACCAGAUGAGCGAGAUUGAUUGAAAGCGCUGUGCCAACUUGCGUACAAGAUUUUUAGACUGUAGUAAAUCCUCUUCACAAGUUAUUUCGUACAGGCUAUUCAAGGUCUAUUGGCUUUAUUGCUUAUGUGGUACUUCGAUCGCGAAGCCUCGCUUAUGCACCGAGAAAGAUCGUAGAUAGGAAAGAUCUGUUAUGCACCAACGACGACCCCUUCUCUUUACCUUUAUCGUCUCAUACCUCAGCCCAUUGCUGGCUUGAAUGCUGUCUCUCUUCUUCUUUGCUCGCGAGAGUGAAUAAGAGGACGAUCCACCGGGGGGGGGAUGGAAUGAGUCGGCAAGGGGAUCAACCAUCUUCUUUUAGUAAAGGCCCACACAUUAUCCUUAAUAUUGGGAUAAAAGGACUCUGAAGAAGGAAACUCUCUUCCCGUCUUGCGUAACUGACCACUGCAAAUCAAGUCGAAAGUGCUUAUAUGCUUAACACGUUUUUGUCUCAAUGACAGGCCGCUUGAACAUUGUCUGAUUUUUUUUAAGAGAUUCGAUCUUAUGUAUCUACUUAUUGUCUUUUUGCCUUUGCUCGGUAGUUCCGUAGCCGGUUUUUUCGGACGUUUUCUAGGAUCUGAAGGAACCGCUAUAAUGACCACCACGUGCGUUUCAUUUUCUUCGAUCUUAUCUUUUCUUGCUUUUUAUGAAGUCACACUGGGAGCUAGUGCUUGCUAUCUCAGAAUAGCUCCAUGGAUCUCAUCGGAAAUGUUUGAUGCUUCUUGGGGCUUCUUUGGCGACCGUGAAGUCACCGGAUGAAUUGCCAAGUAGAUAGAUCAGAUCCGGACGCUGCAGUUGUUCAACGGUGAUACGGACUCGACCCGGUCCUACCCACCCUGGGGUAUCAUAGCAUGUCCGGAAUCGAGGGGGGACAUACUGGACGUAACUACUCCCGUCGGUUGGGGGCUCUGCCGCCCUGCCUUUCGAUCGAUACACUGUUGAGGAGGCCGAUCACGAACGUGACAGGUGUGGGAGCGAUCCUGGGAAGGCAAGGCUAAGACGACGCCUUGCAUAUGGGUAGCAAGAGGGCGCUUAUGCCCCGACGGUGGGGCCUUAUGGGGAAGGGCCCAGCCCAAUAGGGACAACACACCCCCUAUCUAAGGGUGACGUCGGUGGAACCGGUGAACCACGUGAGCUGGUUAGAUGCGUGGGGCAGAGGGCUCGUAGUACCCCCCUUUUCUUGAUCCAGCCUUUUCUUCGCUUCGGUAGUUAAUCACCUAAAAUCCAAGGGAGGCUGGCCUGCACGCCAUACCUAUACCCAUACAGUGCCAGGCAGGCGGUGGACUCAUUUUUGGAUUAGGGAAGGGAAGAAGGGGCCUAAGCACGGCAGAUGCCGUACACUUGAGUGGCAAAGGAAAGCGAGACCGUACUUCUUUUGCCAGGCCUGUUCUGACAUAAGGUUCCCGCAGAAGAUCAAGUUGGUGAGCCAUGUGAUGGGAAACCUUCCCGCACGGUUCGGAGAGCACUGAAGACGAAUGAGAGGUUCACCACCACAUCAUUGCAAGGGGAGCUCGCUCGAUUCGCAGAUUGGCCUGACUCGUAAUUCACUUUUGACUCUGUGUUCGAUAGCCUGACCGUAGUGAUGUUAAUUGUGGUUACAUUCAUAAGUAGCUUGGUCCAUCUUUAUUCCAUUUCAUAUAUGUCCGAGGAUCCGCAUAGCCCUCGAUUUAUGUGUUAUUUAUCCAUUUUUUACUUUUUUAUGCUAAUGUUGGUGACUGGAGAUAACUUUCUUCAAUUAUUCCUGGGAUGGGAGGGAGUAGGUCUUGCUUCAUAUUUGUUAAUUCAUUUCUGGUUUACACGACUUCAGGCGGAUAAAGCUGCUAUAAAAGCUAUGCUUGUCAAUCGAGUAGGUGAUUUUGGAUUAGCUCUUGGGAUUUUUGGUUGUUUUACUCUCUUUCAAAUAGUAGACUUUUCAACCAUUUUUGCUUGUGCUAGUGCUCCCAGAAAUGAAUGGAUUUUUUGCAAUAUGAGAUUGAAUGCCAUAACUCUGAUUUGUAUUUUACUUUUUAUUGGUGCUGUUGGGAAAUCUGCACAGAUAGAAUUGCAUACUUGGUUACCCGAUGCGAUGGAGGGUCCCACUCCAGUAUCUGCUUUGAUUCAUGCAGCUACUAUGGUCACUGCUGGCGUUUUCAUGAUAGCAAGGUGCUCCCCUUUAUUUGAAUACUCACCUACGGCUUUGAUUGUUAUUACUUUUGCAGGAGCUAUGACGUCAUUCCUUGCGGCAACCACUGGAAUAUUACAGAACGAUCUAAAGAGGGUCAUAGCUUAUUCAACUUGCAGUCAAUUAGGCUAUAUGAUCUUUGCUUGUGGCAUCUCUAACUAUUCGGUUAGCGUCUUUCACUUAAUGAAUCACACGUUUUUCAAAGCAUUACUCUUCCUGAGUGCGGGUUCGGUGAUUCAUGCCAUGUCGGAUGAGCAAGAUAUGCGGAAGAUGGGGGGGCUUGCCUCCUCCUUUCCUUUGACCUAUGCCAUGAUGCUCAUGGGCAGCUUAUCUCUUAUUGGAUUUCCUUUUCUAACAGGAUUUUAUUCUAAAGAUGUGAUCUUAGAGCUCGCUUACACAAAGUAUACCAUCAAUGGGAACUUUGCUUUCUGGUUGGGAAGUGUCUCUGUCCUUUUCACUUCUUAUUACUCCUUUCAUUUACUAUUUCUAACAUUUCUAGUACCAACUAAUUCAUUCGGGGGAGACAGAUUACGAUGUCAUGAUGCGCCCAUUCCUAUGGCCAUUCCUUUAAUACUUUUGGCUCUCGGGAGUCUCUUUGUAGGAUACUUGGCCAAAGUGUGACCUGUUAGCCCAUAAGUCAGUACUGUGACGAAGCGGCUGUUGCUCACCCGAUACGAUCAUACGAGGUCACAAUUUACCCAACACGAUCAUCCGGGGUGAACAAAAAUUGGGGAUCAGAUGCGGGCGAAAUUCCCGCCAAUGGCUGAGAUGUUCAGUCGACUCCCUCCCCCUUUGUGGGGGUCUGGACCCCUACGAGUGAGCAGAAAAGGGAGGAGGAAAGAGGCCCUGGUGAACCGUCAUAAUAAGUGAACAAGUGUAAGCUUUGCUGCCCGACAGUAUGGAGUACUGACCACACCGAGGGACAGGCCCUGAAGCGAAGGACAGGAACGAGCGGAAUUAAUGUGUUCCAAUUUCUGGCCUUGCACCGACCAUCCAACGGACCAUGGACUAAACGGCCACUGCGUGAAAGGACUAUGCUAUGUCCAGGGGACUGCCGCCCUCCACAAGGUACAUCUUGCGCCUAUGGGCCGCUAUAACUAUCCAAGAAGACACUCGAAAAAGGAAGGAUAAACAAACCUACCCGAUGGACUGCCGAGCUACAAGUCCUACGACACAGGAGCGGGAUUCUCUAAAAAGCCAAGGUCUUAGGUGGCCAAGAGGGCCCACUUGGAGACUUGGGAUCUCAGCAGGAAAUGUGAAGGUUGUUUUAAGCCGGCCGAUAGGCGAAAGAGAAUCCAAAAGUUUUGUUCUGAUCUGAGUAGGCUCAACAUAGGGAAUACCCUAACCCUGGGAACCGGGGCAUAUAAAUCCGCUUAUGGCAUUCACCCAAGCAUACAGAGACAGAUGGAAUGAAAGAAAGAAAAAGUAGCUCCGCAGCUCGCCCAGAAGAAGAAAGACCCGCCGCUAACAAUUUGGAAAUCCCUGGUGGGCUGGGCCUGAAAGACAAGUGUGUGUGGAUUUCCACAUCCUCGUCUUUACUUUAAGACACAACUCUUCUCUUUCUCGGUCAAAUGACUUGCGAUAGUCUACCUUGAGUAGGACCAUAAGGAUCUUAUGUUUGUGGCGAAAGAUAAGUGGUUCUGUCACAACCAAGAAAGUUUCUAUGAGUGAGCGACCCUUGAUAAACGCUGAUUGAUACGUGUCAAUGUCAAUAAGUGGAUGAGUGUUGUUAAAGACAAUGUUUGUUCCUCUUCUUUGAAAUGAUUUUCAUGAAUCUCGAGAUGAUACUGAUUGGCCUGAAAUCCUCGAAGGUAUUGGCAUAUUUUUUCUUUGGGAGGAGAGUGAUGGAUGCCUGGGUUAGCCUCCAAACAUAAAGGCCAUUGCUAUGAAAGAGCUGCAAGAGAGAAAGCAGUUGCGGGUGGAUGAUGUCCCGGAAGGCUUGGAUUGCACAGAUUCUACCAGAGGAUGUUGAGAUGCUCCCAUUGCAACUCACUGAUGGAGAAGAACUAGAGAGCUCAGCUAGAGCUGGAGGAGGUGGUAGUACCUGUUCCAUACUGUAAAAAAGGUUUUCUUUUCUUAUAUAUCGGAGGUUUUGUGUGCAGUGGCCGCCAUGUUGAAGUUGGAUGUUGCUUUUGUAGUUCCCAAUGAAGGAUGAUGCUGGGUCUAUGAUGCAUUUUAUUUGGAUUUUGGCUGAUAGUUUUCGAUGAAGCCACAAAUACUACUCUUGUGUGAGACCUGUUGGCUUCAUCCAGAGGGAGAUGUGUUCUAGGGUGCCAAAGUACUCUUCAGCUGAAGAACUCUCUUUGGGACAAGGGCAUCAUCAAAGCAAAGAAAUCAGAAGAAGAAGCAGUCAGUAAUGCAAUGCGAGACAAGUGUCAUGUAGCAAGGUGCCCGGAAUCUAUCGUAUAUCGUAUACAGGGAUUUUGGAUUGCGAUUUCCUUUUGGGGAUCAGGCCGAUUUGAUGACAGGAAUUUCCUUGUUUGUUGCAGCCUAAGAUUGGGAUUGGCCUACUCUUCUUCUAUAACUGGGAUCUUACGACUCUCGUGCUUAAUAAGUUGGCACCUCGCAUCCUGCCAAAACCUAAUCCUCUUAUUCUCUAGCUAGAGUUGGGCUCCUUAAGAAGAUAUGAUACUUCUACUUUUGACACCCUUUUUUUUCCUAUUUUUAAACUCAAAUUGAUAAAGCCACCUGGCGAGUAGGAAUAGUUUCGAGUUUCUGGUCUGUUUUCUUUUGAGAAUCAAACCUCUAAUGGGUUUUUGCUACCAGGAGAAGGGAAUGGCCAUGUUGAUGGGGUCUAUCUAAAUAGAGAGGAACCUACAGGGCUGAUUACUCGAUCACUCCAUUGUGAUGACAAUCACACCCAUAUUCUUUAUUAUUUCUAAAUAUAGAUAACUGCCAUCUCCCGGCAUAAGAAGGAGUGACCCUAACGACAGCCCCUAUAAUAGUAGACAACACGUUUUAAAUCAGACUGGACUGAACAAAGAAAGAUCUUUCCACACAAGAGUGGAAGGGAUCCUUUAGAAAUAGUUCUUAGCUCCAAUCAAGCUUUCUCUGCUGUCUAGGAUCGUUAGUGCUAUAGUGGAGACACUUUUCUCAAAUAAGAAUGGUGGUCACAUUCCCUUUCUGGUGGUAGUCAUUGAGGAUCUCAAAAACAGGGAUCGCAAAAAUGUGUCAAUAAUGACAACGCUGGGCGAAAAGGCUAAAGAAGAAAAACCUGUAGAUUUGAGUGCCACUUCCUUUGCUAAGAUAGCUAGAUUUGGAUGUCCAUUCCAUAAGGUAUAGCUGCAUCUGACACUGAGUAGAAGUUACUAGCAGGAUAGACAGGAAGCUCUGAAGGAUGUACAAUGCUUGGAGGGACAUAAGUUUCAAGAGAAAUGGUCUCUUUUGAUGGGCAUUUGUAGAUGAUGGUUGAUACUGAAAACAAUGCCUUCUUGACAGCUCUAGCAUCACCAGUUAUCUAUUAAGCAUAAAGAUACAUUCAAGAUAACAAUUAGCGGAAUAUAAGAAACAAAGAAUAGAUAUUGAAUAAAGAAAAAAAAGAGCACAACCUCAUAACCGUCCUAAUAGAGAUAAUACCACAUUCAUCUUGUUCUUUACGCCGAUCCAACUCGUGCUUUUUUGGAUGGAUUUCACACGGAAUCAAGGGAGGUGCGGGAUACGACCCAUAUCACAUUCCUGUGCCAUAGCUUGCAAAAUCAAAUAAAUCUAUCGAAGCUAGGGUGCCAGGCCUAUAAGAAUCAGAAGAACAAUCCACACUAAUGUAACCGUAAGGAAAUGGCGGCUCUAACAUAGAUUUUUCUCAAUAUGUCAUGUUGUUGAAAAAUCUUGUGGUAGCAUGGGAUGAUCGACACUUUAGUUUUAGUUAUUGAUUUACGCAUCAUGCAUUAACUAAUAUUUAUGGGGCUGGAGACUUCGCUAAAGCAUGCACAUAAAUAGAUGAAUGAGGGAUUACAAGGCAAGGAGAUACAGAUCUGGGGGUUGACUCAGAACUUGUACAUAGGUCAGCUCACUAAUGCUUAAUAACCAAUAAAUAGUCAAUCAAGAGAUAUGCACCAGCAAACAACAUUAUACUGAAAUAGUGUAUUAGGCGGCAAAUGGCACAGAAGAGUUUAGACGAUAGAUUCUCUACAACAGGUAGGGAUCAGGGAUUAUACGCUCUUUUCUAUAAACAAAGUAGGCUUGUGAUUGUCCGCAUCCAUCACUCAAUCAUGCAAUUCAAAGAAAUGGUUUACUUAUCUUCUUCUAAAGGAUGGAAUUGCUAGAUUGUCAGUAAUAUCAAUUGAGGAAGAAGCUAGUCCCACUUAAAUUCGAAAAGAAGACCUCUAUUGUGACAGAAGAUUCCUCGCCCACAGCAUCUCACUUAUUGAUUGUGACAUAGCUCUCUAUCUCCGCUCAUAAGAAGAUAGCGUGUCAUUCACUCGCUCUAAAAACCAUAGGAGCUACUAUUCCCAAGUUUAUUAAGAAUGGGCACUCACUUGAUUCAGGCUUCCACCGUUCUAGCUUCUCUUCAUAGUUCACUAGAAUGUAUCGAGCAUGUUUCUCUGGAUCAGGAGGCUUUACAUAAAUUGCUACGAUUGCCAAGUCGAAAAAGAACUGGGCAUGAAUGUGAAAGUGGAAAGAGAAGGGAGCGUGACUUGUUUCAAGAAUUGGAUGCCCUUGUUAAGGAAAUCUAGUAUAAAAGGAGAAAUUGGGCCUAUUUAUAACUUUUGGUACCUAACCACCUGAACUGGGAAUAAUGGCUAAAGAUUGAAGGCUCUAAGCCAUGUAUCAGAGCCGGUUAUUUGAGUAUCGAUGCUGUUGGAGUCUAGCUUCCGACCAAUCCACUUCACUUCGGAGGACAUAACAGCUUAAGAAGAAAUCGAGAUCAGGCCCGUGGAAAGCACACACACACGCCUGGGGAAUGAAUCCACUUUUUCAUUCUCAAUACUAGGGGGGCUUCUCCGAUCGAUUGCUUUUACUGUUAUUCCCCAGAUUGGCGAAAUGACCUUUCGUCUUGCUUCCGUAAAAUAAUAAAAUGUGCUUUCGCCAGAAGAAGAAAAAAGAAGAUAGCUCAGUAAAUGGCAUUCAAGUAAAGUCGAGAAAGAGGCCUUGCUUUCGCACAGGAAGGAAAGAAUUGAGUUGGGUAAGUAAGCCCUAUUGGGGGAUUAAGGGCUCGAGUACGAUUAGAGCACCUUUUUUUCUGCUGCGCAGGCUUACCAUUUUAAAUAGGGGGAAACAGGAGACUGUUGAAGAUGAAUAUGGCUAGUCUACCGCUACUGUUUGAUUGGCAAUCCUUAGACUAUAGGGAUGAAGCAAAGGAGCAUAACCUACCUGCAACUAUGCUUUAAAGCAAAGAAAUCUAUCGAAAUUCUCAUUCCAGUCUGAGGGGAUAUCUGAAGCUACCGAUCCGGGAUCUCACUCAAAUCCAAACCUAGCACUUUUGUAUUUAUUGCUUCUCCUUUUAGAAGGGCCGUAGCCGAGUAGAAGAGAAGAAAAGAGAUUUCCUUAUCUGCAUGCCAGCUUUCAUUCCUACUUUUGAUGAAAGAAAGGUCAGUUGCUGCCGACAAGUCGACUAAACUUUCACAACUGUCACCUAUCUUUAAGCACCUUCUAGGCCGCUUCCCAACCUAAUGCAUUCAAGUCUGCCUUCGGUACUGGUACUUCGGAAUCAAGGGCCCAACAAGCGAUAUCAGGAGUCUUUGGCUGAAGAACUCGCGGAUAAGAAGGUUAUUUCAUAACUAUAUAAAAUCCAUAGUCACGCUCAGCAUGCGAAAGCUUGUAAAAAUGACAUCCCCUGCGAAAACCAAUAGGAUUUGUUGGGCCAUCGAACACUAGUUUCUGGUUUCUCAAGACCUUGAGGCAAGGGCAGUUACACAACAUUUUCUCAAUAUUGAAUGUGCAUUUUUCCCGCAUUUUUUCGAUUCCACUUCUGUAUCAGAAAUUAGUGUCAAGGGAUGGAGUUCCUGUUUCGUUAACUAAGUCUCGCGUUGUUUGCUUGAGGAAGGGACGGCCGUAGCUAAAUUUCCAUUGCUAAUCUUACAUGUUCCCACGAAUAAUAAAGAAAAGAAGAAAAGGCUAUUCCUUAGACACAGAGGUGGGAUUAAGGCGUCAUGCGGAACUCCAACAACAUAGACCAGAUGACUUAUUUAUUGAAAAUAGGUUUAGGAGCCUGAUCCUGGAGCUGAGCAAGCAUGGGCGCGAUCCACAUCAAGUGGAACUACUAUAACUAUAUCUGUGGAAGGAAGGUGGAACCUUCACCGAAUCAUAGUUAGGUGGCACCCAUUCCGCAGUGGGCCGACAUCACACUGCCGCUUCAAUAGCUAGCGGGUAAUAAUCAGAAAGUGAAUCAUCAACCACUCAUUUAGAAGCCGCUCAUGCAACAACGUUUAAGUAAAUCCUUCCGCCCUUAUUUUCUUUAGUCUAGUUGUUGGAGGAAAUGCGCCUUGAACACAUUACGUAUACUAGCUAAGCUUUGUCCCUAAUCAUGACUAGUUGUUAUUAGUUUCGAUCAAAUUUCCCCCCAGCCGGCAAUGCCUCAGCUUCUCAAAAUCUAGGAAGCUCUAAAAAAAGUCAUCAUUAUGAAAAGAUACUAGCGCUACUAAUAAGGGAAGCUACUUUUUUCUAAGAAAGGAAUAAAGCAGAAAACUAAAGAAAGAGAUCUUAAGUGGGUCCCGCGAGUAGUUUGUCUUGUUUCAGUCCGUACAAGAAGAUACUUUCAGGGUUGUCCAAGAAGGGACGGGCCUAUCUAUUGGUGGUACUAGUUCCGCGGGAGGGGCAGGAUUUCGGUGUCGUCAGCAUGGGUCCGGCUAUCGAUCACAAGGGUCUAGAUACGGGUCUCGAACGGAAAAGUAUGCUACAUAUUGCUCUGCUCCAGUUCCCUCUGCUUACACCUGGUCAAUUCGUUGAUUGCCCCUUUUAUUUCUGAUUUUCAAAAGGGCCCCGCUCUCGUCUCUGCUGACGAAGCCUUUAUCUCUGUCUCUGUUAUCCUCGUACCUGCUGAUCUCUUCGACUGAUAGAGUCUAUGCUAUUGGUGAAGCUGGUUCUACCUCAACAACAGGAUCUGCAAAUGGAUUUUCAACUAACAGCCUCUGCUUCAAUUUGUGAUGAAAGGUCGACUAGUUUUCACCGAAUCUUCAAUUACGCACCGGUAACUUUUUUCCAUUUCCGAGGUCCAGAGGGGAGGACGAAGUACAGCCUAGUUCAGAGAGUAACGAUUGAAUCCAGGUUAAUUCAGCAGCAGCUAGAGCAAUACUCCGAUAUUGAUUUGAUUUUCCGCUACCCACCAAGGUAGAAGACUGCUUGAUUCGCAGAAGAAGUAUGCUUUAUUUGCUUAUAGAACAGAAGUAUACGCUUUUUCAGGGAAAGAUAGAUGGAAUAGGGCAUUCAGCAGUUUGAAGAGGUAGCCUUUUUCAGUAGCAGUCUUGUAAGCAAGCGCCAUACGUUCAAUCUAUACUGGCGAGAGUCUUUCCUCUUAUAAAGCCUGAGCGCGUUGCAUGACUUAAUGCCAGCUCUUUAUCAUACAUCUUCUGUAGAACCAAUAAAUAUAAGGGAUAUGUGUUAUCACAUCUUGUUCAUGAUCUGCACCACGUUUUUCCUGUAUACCGGCAGCUAGCAUCCCAUCAGUAACCUAUGGGCGAGAUUUCUUGAGGGGGCUGGCCAUGGUUUUUUAACCCACCCUUUCAUUCACUUAAGACCCAAAGCAGAAAAGGUUUGCAAUCCAUAUACUGGAAUUUGGUUCCACCGAAGUACAAGGACUAAACUGGUCGACUCCACCGCAGGGUGCGAGAUGUUGAGCUUCCUCGACGCCUACUCUGGGUAUCAGCAAGUCUAUAUGGCUGAGGAAGACAAAGAAAAAACUAGUUUUAUCGCCCCUUCCUUCUUCUACAAGCGGAUGCCCUUCGGUUUGAUAAAUGUCGGUGCCACAUUUAAGCACCUAAUGAGCCUCAUCCUCAGGUCUCAGUUGGGUCGUAAUGCAGAAGUGUACGUUGACGACGCUGUCAUCAAAAGCCGCUUGGCAGGGACUCACCCCAAAAACACCUCUUUUUUUGCAUUUGCUGAGCAGAACCAAUUACCAGAUCCUACUUCUAAGCUCUAUGCUCUACUUUGGCCUUGCUCUCACUUAUGGGUAGGAAGGACAAUAAGCAGGAAUUCAUGUUGGCUAACUAUUCUAUCCAGGCGGAAGUUGUUUUCAUAGGAAAGACGGAAGGUUUUGCGCGUUGGUUGUAUCGAAUUUCCCUUUCUAAUAGCAUACACAAAUAGAUAAUAAAGUUACGACGAUGAUAAGGUAAAUGAAAACCUUUGAUUUACCUUACCAUCAGUUCCGUCUUAUCUCUGUGCCUCCUCUAGCCAUUUCAUAAUUGGAUAUCGUCAUUCAAAUCUGUUAUGACAACUGUUUGGUAAGCAGGGAUUCGAAUCAAACAAUAAAUACCAACUCUAAGUGUGAUGGAUAGUACCUGGUGCCUAAUUUCAUGGUAUCUUUCUUGGCGCCUACCAUAGGAAAACCCCUCCUUCUUUUGGGAGGAAAUCAAAUGAGUAAAGGUUUCUGCCGACUCCCCUCAAGGAACCACUCUACUCAACUUGAAACCACGGACCUACCUCCUGCUUUUGACUUUCUUCUUUGUCCCAAUUCAUAUCGAGCAUGUCUUUCUCCAUCUAUAGAUAGAGAGAAUAGAGGAUAGGGGCGCUCAAAGCAAAUAGGAUUCUGUAUCUAAUACUAAUAGGUACUAACCGCAUUCAAGAUUGACUUGACCUCUUAUUUUGGAUAGGCAGAAAUGCUUAUGCCCUAGGGGUUUAAAGGGCCCACUCCCUUUGGUUGACUCAUCAGGCUCACCACCUUUUGGAGCUCAUCCAACAGUCAGUCUACUUAAUCAUAAUCAUAAUCAAUCCGUUGCUAUUGCUAUCUAUCGCCAUACCCACAAGAGGGUAAUUAUCCAACUCCCCGUGCGAAAGCAAGUCCCGCGUCAGCAGUGAUUCGAGUUGUUCCUUGAGAGCAGGCUUAUGGCAUUCCAGGUAAACAUAACAAUAUGAGAGAGAACUCUGUUCGGCUUAUAAGUACUCGAUUAAACCAAUUGUUUUUUCAUUUCCCAGUAGGUCACCUUGGGCCAGCUGCUGACUUUCUAGAAAGAGACAAGGAAGUCGAUUCAACAUAAGGGAAGAAAGCAUAUUUUAGGUUUACUCCUUCCAUGUCUAGUAGGAGUGCGUGCUUCUUAUUGCCUUUUGAGCAGUAGUUGUAUACAUUCCUCACUCAGUCUAAUUAAUUAUCUUUCUCCCUACCCAAAUACCAAGGGAGGUUUAUGAGUCGUAUCCUCCUUACGAGAUAGCGGAAGUAGCAUUAGCGGGAAAAGUAAGCUCCUUUUCAAGCCUUCUCUUUCGUAACCUUUGAUUAGUUCCUUAGAUGCCCUUAGCAAGAAUGAUGAAGGAGCAAGAAAGUCUAUUUCCCCCGCCUUUCAAGAAUCUUGCUAUUCAAAUAGCACAGUAUAAAAUGCAAUCCAUAAGUCAUGCUGGUCAAUCAAUGACAAUGAUAAGCUCUAUAAAAAAAGAGUCUAUUGCUCUUCGACACGUUUUAUAUCUACUUCAGUCAUGCUUUAUUGGAGUUAUCUGACGCCAAGGAGGAAGGAAUAGAGAUUAGGAUCCUAGCCUUGUUCCGUUUGAAGUUCCUAAGAGAGGUUACAAAAGAAAGGGAUGCUCAAACCAAGGAUUUGGAGUCUUAUUAGUGCAUCAAUCUACAGAAAGGUAGGGGGCAUACCUGUGUGAAAAUGGAGUGUAAAGCAUAUUCUAGAUAUUUCACUUCGAAUUUCUUCCUCUUAAAAGAGUCAAGUCCGCAGGGUUCCCUAAAUUCCCCAGGAAUCAAGUGGGACCGGGAGAUCGUUGUUCAUUCGGUGGUUGGCCCUCCCCCUAAUAAGUACCNNNNNNNNNNAAAUGCAAUCCAUAAGUCAUGCUGGUCAAUCAAUGACAAUGAUAAGCUCUAUAAAAAAAAAGAGUCUAUUGCUCUUCGACACGUUUUAUAUCUACUUCAGUCAUGCUUUAUUGGAGUUAUCUGACGCCAAGGAGGAAGGAAUAGAGAUUAGGAUCCUAGCCUUGUUCCGUUUGAAGUUCCUAAGAGAGGUUACAAAAGAAAGGGAUGCUCAAACNNNNNNNNNNCUAUUCAAAUAGCACAGUAUAAAAUGCAAUCCAUAAGUCAUGCUGGUCAAUCAAUGACAAUGAUAAGCUCUAUAAAAAAAGAGUCUAUUGCUCUUCGACACGUUUUAUAUCUACUUCAGUCAUGCUUUAUUGGAGUUAUCUGACGCCAAGGAGGAAGGAAUAGAGAUUAGGAUCCUAGCCUUGUUCCGUUUGAAGUUCCUAAGAGAGGUUACAAAAGAAAGGGAUGCUCAAACCAAGGAUUUGGAGUCUUAUUAGUGCAUCAAUCUACAGAAAGGUAGGGGGCAUACCUGUGUGAAAAUGGAGUGUAAAGCAUAUUCUAGAUAUUUCACUUCGAAUUUCUUCCUCUUAAAAGAGUCAAGUCCGCAGGGUUCCCUAAAUUCCCCAGGAAUCAAGUGGGACCGGGAGAUCGUUGUUCAUUCGGUGGUUGGCCCUCCCCCUAAUAAGUACCUACCAAGAAUUGGGCCAGUUAGUUCAAGCGGUACCGAAUCACAAAGAACAGUUGAGUUUUCUAAUUCAUCUAUUAUUCUAUUUUUGGCAUUUCUAGAAUAGCGUUGGAUCCGGGACACACAUUUCUGCCCGAGUUCCAAUAGCAAACCAAAUACGUUAUCGUGGAAAACGAGUUUCUCCAACACAGAAGAGUUCGUGUGCUUUUUAUUUUCACAUGAGUUUCACAUAUGUGAUGGUUGGUUGGGAGGGUACGGCAAAUGACUCUAGAAUCUUUCUGGAUACAACCACUGAACCGGAAAAUGGCCACUAUCGUCAACGAGAAAAUACUAUCUUGUGGACUCAGGCUCUACGUUUAUGCCUUAAGGUCUUUCUCCUUACCGUGGGGAGCAGUACCAGUUGCGUGAUUCUAGAGAAGAAGGCGGUGUCCCGACCACAAGGCGGUUAAAUUCCACUGGUGCUUGCUAGCCAGUCAAGAACGACUCGAAGACCGUGGGAAGGUCUUCACGCUACGCCGAAGACGACGAUGGCUCCAUACCGGGUGGUAAUACACAGGUAUAGGAUUUCCUGUAAUGAUGUGAAACUGUGUAUUUCAGAGAAAUAGCUCAGUUCGAGAGGAAGGCGGAAACAGUUCCGGUUUUAUUAACCUGAUUCCUAUUCAUUUACCGUUAAAGGAAGGAAUUCUUAUCUAUUUCUCGAGGCAAUUAUACUCAUAUCGACAAUAUGAACUGCAUGAGAAUUAGCAUAUAGAAAGAAAGCUUUACCGAAUACAGGUCUAGUAGGUAUAGAGCCGUAAGCGUGGUGGGGGUGCCGGUGCUUAGGCAGAUGCCCCAUUGUUCAUGAUGUUGCAAUGAAUCCAGUGGAUCAUCCUCAUGGAGGAGGUGAGGGGCGCACGAAAGGAGGUAGACCUUCGGUGUCACCUUGGGAAAGCUCACCAAAGUAGGAUUUCGGGCAGUAGUAGGGGUGGUGAAACUUUAGAUGUCAAAUGCCACCAAUUUUUCUGCUCAAGUUAGAACGUAGUUUUUCGAAGUGAAUUGGCCAGUUCCUUUUAAAAGGAGACUGGUUUAUUUUUAUAAGCGAUUGGCUUCACUUUAGAUUUGUUAUCGUAAUUUCUCUUUUAUUUAUGGGUUGUUAUUUAUUAUUUCGAUUUUUGAUAAACGAAACGAAUCCAAGCCCGACAAGUAGAAUUCCAUUCGGUACCUUUGGGGUUUUCUUUUUCCUUCCGGAUGACGACGUCACCGCGUCUCCUUAUUGUUAUUGCGAUGGUGACGAGGAACAAAGGGCCGGGGAGAUCAUCGAAAUUACCUCUAGCCCGGAGCCAGAGGGGGUCGUCGACACAACGCCAACCCUGGUGGUGGGGCACUUCGAAGGUCUGGAGACCCUCCUUGAGAUUCCCCCUUUACCGGAAACGCCACCCGCAGGUCCUUCCUUAGCUCCAGAAGAAAGGGAGAAAGCCCCCUGGCCUAAACCUUGAUCCACCCCAGAGUAGCCGCCGGCUGGACGGCGGCGAACGGGGAGCAAACUCCUCAAAACGAAGUUCUACUUUGUCUUUGGAAGAAUUGGAAGAAUCGGACUCUAAGUUUAAAGUAGGAGUAGAGUCUUUAGAGGCUCGCUUAGAAGGAAUAAAGAGAAAAAAGCAACUGCAAGCGUUCGGGGCUUCUCCUUUUGAGACCGCGAAAGCAGAGCUGGUUACGUCCAUUGGGGAAAAUUCCCAGUUUCAUGUGGGACUGCUUUUGUCUCUGGAUGUCAAAUGCCCCUUGACGGGCAAACGGGAGGCUCUCGAAAAGACGAUAGAGGCCAUCUUGAAAUGCCAAGGGAAGCCCACAGACUCCCUAGCGUCUCUACUCGACCUAAAAUGCGAUCUCGAGGACCCCGAAAAACUCGAGACCGCUCUCCGUCCAUAUUUAGGACGGUUAGGGCGAUUUUUUAAGAAAUAAAAACCUUCUGUCGAUUUAUCCACACUUCCAUGACUUCUAGAGGAAAGCUAACUACUUGCUGGCUGGGAGCUGUAUGAGCGGUAACGUCCACGUACGGCUCCGUGAGAAGGUGGACGGAAAUGGCCUUGUUGUACCUCACUCCCGUCUUCAACGGGGUCUGCUCUUUUUUUAGGAGAGUAUGCCAAUAUGAUCUUAAUGAGGUGCGGGGCUUUGCAUCUGACAUUCGUUGGGCUUUCCUCUGCAGGAGCCCGCGUCCCGGCCUUUUUGUGCAAUAAACCCCUCCGGCCGAAGACUAGUGAUAGGUGGUCCCGCGGAGCUUUCGGAGAAGGGUAGCCUAGUGUGUAAACACAACAAUGAACCGUGGCGAACCCUCAGACGACCCUUCUAAGAUAAGGGGGGAGAUCCUCAGUAGUGGUGACCCUUUGACUCUUCCACUGACUUAUAUAUGUACCAAAUGCUCAUACGGGAAAGUGAACUCCUGGGUCUGGAACCUGGGGGGGUUGCUCUGAGAAAAAAUCCUUUCUUUCUCGUCCACUCUAGGGGGUGCGGACACACCUGCGCGGAUUACAGGUGACGGUUACAAGAAUGGUGGGGAAGUAAAGAGUACCCGACGACAUUCAGGGAUGAAUGUAGACCCAUCGGGCGGGGAUAAUCAUUCCGGUCCUGGGAGAGGUGGCGACACCAGUCUGAGCUGAGGGAAGCCAGCCAAUUGAGUCACUGAAACGACCGCAGGAGGCGCACCCUAAGCCCAGCUUCUCGGAGCUGCUAUUGCGAAAUACGGCUUCCUUAAUAUCCAAAUUUCAACAAGGGGGCUGGGCUGCUCGCCUUCAUAGAAAGGUGAUCGGGCCUAGAUUAGAUGUUCGCCUUUUUAUAGAAUAGAAAGAGAAGUAAGGGGGGGGGGGUUUGGAGAUUCUUGAAAGAAUGCAUGGCUUCCUCUUAUUCCGCUUCAACCGAAGCCCUUAAAAUCCUGCUGCUAUGGCAGCAAGGGUUAUCCAUUUCAUAGGCGAGGGUGGGGGAGAAGCAAGACAAACCUCUGAUCGACCUGGACACGUAAAAAAUUCUCGGUGUCAAGAGAAAGACGAGAUUCAGUAAGUAAUUCAGUGAGUGCUUUCUUUUAUAAGAAGAGCGUCGGCUUGGAAGAAGAAAAUGAAAUACGAACAACCGCGCUGGUUGUAAUAGAUCGACUUGAAUGCAUCUUCUUGCUCCAACAUUCAAGUUCCAUUUCAAGGGAGGACGACGUACCAUGAUACUUUCUGUUUUGUCGAGCCUUGAUUUGGUCUCUGGUUGAUGGUUGUACGUGCUAAAAAUCCGGUACAUUCCAUUUUGUUUCCCAUCCUAGUCUUUUGCGACACUUCUGGUUUACUUAUUUUGUUAGGUCUCGACUUCUCCGCUAUGAUCUCCCCAGUAGUUCAUAUAGGAGCUAUUGCCGUUUCAUUCCUAUUCGUGGUUAUGAUGUUCAAUAUUCAAAUAGCGGAGAUUCACGAAGAAGUAUUGCGCUAUUUACCAGUGAGUGGUAUUAUUGGACUAAUCUUUUGGUGGGAAAUGUUCUUCAUUUUAGAUAAUGAAACCAUUCCAUUACUACCAACCCACAGAAAUACGACCUCUCUGAGAUAUACGGUUUAUGCCGGAAAGGUACAAAGUUGGACUAAUUUGGAAACAUUGGGCAAUUUGCUUUAUACCUACUAUUCCGUCUGGUUUUUGGUUUCUAGUCUGAUUUUAUUAGCAGCUAUGAUUGGGGCUAUAGUACUUACUAUGCAUAGGACUACAAAGGUGAAAAGACAGGAUGUAUUCCGACGAAAUGCCUUGGAUUCUAGGAGGAAUAUAAUGAACAGGACUAUUUCUCCUUUUGGCCAUAGCCAUAGAAGAAGCUUCUCCUCCAAAGCGGAGGGAGGGGAAUCUCAGGAUUCCUAUAACCCUGCUUAUAUAGAUUUUUGAAGACAACAUUUAGGGUUUUUCCCGGGUUUGGUACCAAAUCUGGAUAAACUCCUUUCGGUUCUUAAAACGGAGGAAAUUCUCUUUCUGGCUUUCUGCUUCCCGCGGGAUGCGAACAUGUUUAAAUUGCCCCUAAAGAAGAUCAAAGAUAUGAUUCAAGAAGCAAUGGCUAAAGAGGAGGAAAACAGAGAAAAGCCUCCGGUGGAAGGUUGUGAAGACCGUCGUAUGACGGAGGAGGAAAGGACAAAAUAGCUUGAAGCAUUUUCUUUCCUAUGGGAUAAAAACAAGAUUUGGAACUAUUGAGUGGUGUAGGUAUCCAUCUUAGCAAAUAGAGAUACCGAGGCCCACCAACCUACUACUUGUUGGUUUGGUGGGGAAAGAGGAGUGGGUAUGAGGGCUUCUUUCACUGUUUCCCUAAGUUCAAAAGUGAAUGUGGAAACGCUGUCUAUGGUCUGGUUAUAGCAUCCCCUUUCUCAAUUCCUUUCUGGUCAAUAAGGAUGGUUAUAGCCAGCUUAGAAGGGAAUUCUAAAUGUAAGAAGUUGCUGGAUGGUUUUCUCCAAUGAAGAGGUACACCUAGGUAGGAGGGAGGGAGCUUUCCCACUUUGCAGACGAGUAGUUCUGCCGCUCCGCGUUGGAUAGGAAAGGGGUGGAGAAGGUUCAUUUAUCAGGAAUCUACUUGUUGCAUAAUGCACAUGCCACAAACGAUAAAGUGGAAGCACACUCAGAUGAAGAGGAUGGUGAAUUGAUCAAUAAUCCCAUGUCUUUUUUUGCUAAGAAAUCUUGGAUCAAGACAUACAAGGCAGCAUUGGUCAAACAUAGGACUACCUAGGCUAGGUCAUUCAUUGCUUGGUCCGCUAUAUUCGUUUUGUCUUCUAGUUCUCCACAGGGACUUCCUACUACUCCGCCGAAUCUCUCAUUUGAGAAAGUAGGUCACCUGGGUCGGGUAAAGCAGCGUAGAUAAGGCUGGAGUUUAUGAACAAGUUGAUGUCUACUAGGGCAUUGACCGUACAAGCAGCUAAGUAUAGGGCUCGGCUAGGAAUUCGUUUAUGCUUAUAUUUAUAAGCUUUCUUCUCACUAGGUAGGGCGGGCAGUUGGUCUUAUUGCCCUGCAUCAUAUGAGAAGGAGUUCUUCCACGAAAUGGAGGUCAUCUAUGGUCUUUGUGGCAUUGAUGGAUAGUACUGGUCUGUUGUCAACAAAUAGACUGGCUAGGUCACAGUCUACUAAGUCUACUAGUGGGAUAUGAAUAUGCAUUAGUAGUAGUUAUUGCUGCCGGAUUGGUAUUAACAGUUGGUCAAGUCUAACGUAACGUUUUUUAAGUAGAAGGAUAGGGCAUUAAUUACCUGGGGUCGAUAGGUACACCUUUAUAAUAAAUUAUUAGCACAAAGCUCUCAUCUCACUUUUCAUAGGUAGGCGAAAACUCUAUAGUGAUAGUGUAGUGUAUAUUGGCUUGGAUUCUUUCUAUUGUUAUGGGAAAGGCAUAUCCACACCCAGUUCUUCUUCAUCUUAAUUAAUAACUCCUUCCUUAACUUCAAAGUACGAUAGAAACUUACUUAUAUCUCGUAGGAAAACUAGAGAAUGAGCCAUCUCCAUCUCGUAGAGAAACUAGAGAGGUGCUGGGCGCAGCUGAAAGGAAAUCCAAGAAGAGUCCAUGAAAGGCUAGCAUGAUUAGGAUCCUUUGUAGGGUUAUCUCGGAAGAGAAGGCUAUGAAGCGAACAUCUCUUCUUUGGGAGAGAGGGGAAGAUCUAUGAAGGACACUUAACCCGUGCCGGAGGACUGCACACAGCUGGUACAACCUCGUGUGGUACAUUUUACAUGAUAGAUUCCAUUGGCAGCCAUUGCCCCCCUGCAUGUCGUCUGACAUGACCGAAACAAAACUUUACACCCCCUAGCAGCCCCCUGUCGGCAUCGAAAACGGAGGGAAGUGCGCGUGCUGAUGUUUAAUCAUGCGAUGCCAAUGAUGUAAGCGCGGGCCCGCAGGUGUAGACAGGUUCGUCGGGGGCAAGCUUCAGAGGUGGGGGGUACGAUUAUGGAAGAUCGCGUGGAGGCAGGGGUUGGAGAUGUGAUGCAAGGGUGCGGGGAAUUGGGUGGAAGGACAGUCGUUAAUGUGGAGUCAGGACGGGCGUGAGGCAAGAAGUGGAGGGAACUGGGAUCUAGAUUAGAAGAGAUAAAUACGAUAUUCCUGAUACCCACGGACGAUCCCUAGCCUAGCUUGGCAAUCCCUUGAAAAUGCAAUGCAUUUUCCCUUGAGAUGAAAUUGCUUUUUCGGUGGCAACUAAAAAAAACUCUCAAAUCAACUCACGCAUAUUCCCUUGCUUCUGUUCACUACGCAUAUCUCCUGUUUCUAUACUUGCUAGCUAGCAACCUCUUAUCACACAGAAAGCGUGACAUGAAUGCAUGCCCCCGUGUAUACAACUCCUUACUAUCUCUAAUAUACCGUUGCUUGUUUGGCGCAUAGACCUAUUAUUAUUAUCGGUCAGGCUUUCCUUUUGGCAGGUGAUUACUAUAUAUAAUAUAGCGGGCUUUCCCUUAUCCGUUCACUUAGGUAUCUGACUGUGUAGCGUAGUUCGCCGAUUCCCGGGGCAAACUAAAUCCCAACACUUAAUGCAAACGGCUCUGAAUGGUCUAAAGAUACAAAUUAUUCGACCGAGAUGGGUUUACCUCACUUGUUUGUAGAAACACUUUCGAAAGAAUAGACAAGAUCCACCAGAUAAAAAAUUGGUACGCCACGCACGGCUGCUCCGGCGAGUGACGGGGGCACGGGCGCGGUGUUUCUCGCAGUUGCUCGAUGGCUAGGGGAACAGAUAAAUCCCCUUCCGAAAUGACUUGAUUAUCCCUCGACUAGGAAACAAGAGUACUCUUUACCAUAGGAAAGAAGCUAACUCUGAAAAAGAGAAAUGGAAUCAUCGAGAUAGGAGCUAGUUCCUGGAUUGAGAGAGUUCUGCCUAAUGCCUAAAUUGGAUGGUGGACCUUCAGCUUUAGUGAGUUCACUCGUAGAAAUGUCCGUUUGAUUGCUCCUCGGGUGCUUCCUUCUUUCAAAUCUAGAUUUCCUAGAAUCAUACCUUCGUCCAUUCUUGGCAAGCCUUCUUCUCUGAUGGUAUAGAUGAAGACACCGGAUCCCCAUCCUUAGCCAAACCUUCAACUCAAGCUAGGGCAACAAAGGUUUCAUCAGAAAGGGAUGGAUGGCCUCCACUCACAGAUCCACUUUCUUUCGGGGCCAUCAAUACAAUAGAAUAGUUCUGUUCUUUAGCCGACGUUUUUCCUUGCCGUCUAUAUCCGAGCGGUUCCCUUUGGCAUAUUUCACUUGCUUUGCUACUACGGUACCCGCAUUCUUGAAAGAAAAAGGGAUGGAUAGUUGCCCUUAGGAGACAGGUGGUGCCCAUUUAUCCAUAGAAUAGGUUCAAGAAGAUGAGACGCAUUGAUGUUAAUGAACUUGAGGUUGAAGUUCUAGUAAGCUUAAGCAUAGGUUUAGGUGCACAAGUGGUAUACCAAAAUACUCGUUUAACUACUCCGCAAUGGGACACCCUUCUCAAGGUGGUUCCCCUUUCGUACGACCUAUUCUCUCUCUCUGAAAGUAGCAAUAGAAGAAGGAUAGCUUCAUGAGUUCGUUCUGACUCCUAGAUCGAAAGCUUUUCCUUCUGCUUGGGAACGAUCUUAUCCCGAGUCCUCUGUGGAGUGAAGGAAGUGAUGCCAAUUCUACCGGGUCCGGUACCCACUUAACAACAGAUUCCAUUUUUCUUGACCGAUGGCGUUCUCCCACUGACUUGCUAAGGAAGAGGCUAGUUCGCGUGGAUGCUGCCCUACGUGGUGUUGCUCAUUUUUAAUGACUCUGAAAAGAGUUUACUAAUGAAUUCCAAAGGAUUUAGGUAUUUGACUAGCAGUCAUCUUCAUCAGGUCUAGAUAUUGCCAUGAAUAAGUGUUCUUUCGCUUGAACCUAUGGAUUGGCUUAAGCAAGCAUGGUAUCUUUGGACCAGACCUCGAACAUCUGCUUCUAUAGGAGUUCAUGUCUGUCAACAUAACUAGUUUGAUCCCCCUUCCUAAAGUAUACAUAUAGCUCUUUUCUAUUCUGAUAAUAAGUAAAGUGUCCCUCCUCCACCAGUCGAUGAGCCUGCCUGAGAAUUUACGCACUAAAGCCAUACUGCAGGAUUGCCCCCCAUCAUUCUAGCUUUAACUGCCUAUUCGGCUUCAGCAGUGGGUUUCCAAAGGCACUCUUCCCAGAUAAAAAUGGUUUUUAUUCUAUCCACAGGGACUUUUGCUCCAACUAGAUUGAGCACGAAAUCCAAGGACCUUGAGUGACCACAAAGCCGAAGGGUGAGAGCAAACGGAUCAAUCACUAGAGACAGCUUUGUUUCUUGAUAACAAAGAUAGCCUGCCUUGACUUGAAUUGAGAUAAAGGAAAGGUAGUACAUUGAUAUCGCUCCGCAUUGAAUUGAGAAAAGGCAUUACCGGAUUGUGGAGGAUCAAUAGACUCUGCCGUCGAUAGACAAAAAGACGCUUCAAUUGCCCAUUUCUCCCCGCUAUUCUUCGCUUAGAAGGGCUUGACUUACUUAACUUACCGCUUUCCCGAAACUAGCUAAAAAAGGGUCAGGUAUACCUGCCUGAUGAGAUAGGGUUUUUUCUAAAGCGGGAGCUGCUGUCGGUAUGGGCAAUUUCUUAAGUUCUUUGAUUGAUUCCGUCCCCGAGUGCUACCAAAGUUCCUCUAAUUCCUCAGCCAGAUAUUUCCCUUGCCAGACUUUCCCGAUAGCGGAAUCAAUAGAUGUUACCACGGAGCGGUACCUAGCAACCUUCAUUCCUGCUUUUCCGUCUUGCCUUUGCUACUUGAGAGAAUGCCUUUGACCGAGCAGCUCUUCCACUCAUUUUAUUAGCAAUCAAACCUCUUCCCUUCAACUCAUACCGAAGGCUAUGUCCCAGUAAGCAUUUCCUUUGUUUCCUUGUUUCCCACCUCUGACCUUCCGCUAUGACAUGACCAGUCCACUAAUAAGUCAGGUAUCUCUGAAAAGUAAGACCAUCCUCUUCCCUUCGUUAAUAGAAUAACUCCAACCAUGCUUUCUUGAAAUAGUAGUUAUUGUCUUCCUGGUCAGCUUUCGACGAGUGACUCUUGGUUGCGGGGCUAGGGGGGACCUACUAUCUACUUAACCGCUAGGCAAAGAGGGAGGAGCCAAGAAGCGGGCGUUCAGUGAGGAAGAGACAAAAAAGCAUUUCGUCGAUAAAGAUGAGUGCUUUCGAUCGGCUUGUUGCACUAAAGCUGCGAGGUUCUUUGAUCGAAUCAGCUCUUUGCGUUUACUUUCAUCCCAUCCCACUCUCUUUCUUCUUUCGUUUUAAGAAAAAAGAAGGCAUUUUUAAAUCCUUCUUAUCCUUCUGUACAAUCCAAUCAUGCAGUCUAGCUCUACUUUACAAUGAUAUAUCUAGCUUUUAGUUUUGUUGAACUGCGCUUAUCUUAGGAAAUGAGGAUAACUUAACGGAGCCCAAACUCAUUUGAAAUAGGUUUUCUAGCCUUUGGCUUAAAUAAAAGAUCCAGCUAACUUGUGAGAUAGAGCUGUCUUCCUGGCUGGAACAGGAUGGUACCUUAUGACUUCAACUGGAAAUAGCUUGCAUGGAUCCAAAAAAAACUCAAACCAACUAUUCAACAAUUAGUGGGACCUAGAAUGAAACUACCAUUGUCUUCCCAUACUCAUCUACAUCAACCACCGGCUACAGAGGGAGCUAGCCUGGAAAGAAAAGGAAAUGAAUGGAGGGUAUAAGUAUUUCACUGGUAAAAUCCCUUCAUUAAAGACACACUCAAAAAUAGUUUGUUUCAAAGAAAAGGAAAUACCACUGAAGAAGAUCUUACUUUUUUGGCAUUAAUUGAAAGCCCAGACACUCUGUUAAAAUGAGUCAUGAUACUAGUAAGCUCUUGGAUAGAAUUCAGAUCACCACCGCUGAAAAAAAAGAUCAUCUGCAAAGCACAGAUGGUUGAGUCUGAGCCUCAACCAGCCUUUGUGAAAAAACUAGAUUGCAGCUGAUUUUUAUGCUUAAAAGCCCUAUAUUAGAGUUACGACCGUCCACCAAUAGAAUAGAGACAGCGAAAGAAAGGGACAAUAUAUUGGAAUCUAAAGCCAGGGAGCUUCUAAAUAGCCGGGGAAUUAGCCUGGAUGAUGAUGAAGACAUCUCCCGGGCAGCAGAUCUUAUUUUAUAUGGGAAAAGGCGCGAUCAAGUCAACUAUGCGUCAGAUCCCGCAAUUUAGAAGAGCUUAUCACCCUAAUGGCUUUAUCUAGAAUUUGUGGAUCCCGGAAUGAACUACAAAUGAAUUUAUCCUCAUCGUAUACUAAUUCUCAUCUGCAUCGAAAUAUAUAAACGUGGGCGAUGGUAGUAGGAUUUCCACAGGUUGAGCUCCUUAUCUUUUGACUUUUCUAAGGAUAGCCGAGUAGAUAUACUAGAAUGGGAUGAAUCGAGCACGAGAAAUCACUAGGCACAGGGGAGCCGUAAGGAAGAGGAGUAAUAUCGUUAUAAAGUUCACGAAUUCGAUUCAUUUUGGAAUCGAUAAGUGAACACGGAAUCUCAUCUUGUUCCCCUUGGUUCCGAGGGAUAUAAAGGGGAAAUCACUGAUUCAUUUGGAGCUGUUUUCUAACUGACUCAUUGACAUGAGAGAUUGGAUGCGAUGUGCCAGUCACUCGUACUACAGCGGACAAAGGUCACCGGCAAACGACCGUUCCACAAUGGAACCUGGCACUACUGUUUGCCCUAAGGGCUGACCCACCUUUUCAGAGAAACAGACACAUGACAUCACUAUAUUACGCAUUUUCGAGAUAAGAAAGUGGAGAAUGCACUCUUCCCUUUUUUUUUUACAUUUUAAACUCAUGUUCAUGGUCUGUUUUAUUCCCAAUUGUUGCCCGUGUGAAAAGAAAGAAGAGAAAUUGGGCCAUGUUUCCCGAGAGAGACUGCCUUCUCUCAGGCCAGCAGUCUUAUACUUAUAGUCGACUGCUCUAUGACGAUCUGACCUCUUUCCUGGGCUCUGCUUGCUCGUCUACGCUCCGACCAAUUCAGUCAAAAUCGAAAAAAUGAUGUUUCCUUGAAAAAGUCUAAGAAAUAGUAGUAGUAGUCAAAAAGUGCACUUUUUCCAUAUAUUUCGAUUUAUAGGGAUCCCUAUCUUUAUCUCUAUCCACAGAGAUACCUAUCUAUAUAGAGAGAGAUUUUUCUCAAAAUUGAUCUAGACUAUCCACUAUCCGGAUAGAUAUGUCCCUAUGAGCGACUAGGCCGAUCUUUUUUUAUAUGUUUUGGCCACGUCCGUUUCCGCUCCGAAGAGGAAGGUUUGGAUCUUUCAAUCUUAUGUCGUGAGGGAUGUGACCUAUGUUAGGUCCAUAAGAUACCACAGCUUUUAGUGUUCUAUGAUUCACCUCCGAAUAAUGAGUAGGUAGUUCGAUCCUUUUGAUUCUUAUCUUCCUAGUAAAUGGGGAUCCGGAGCAAUAGGUCGAAUUACUAUAUAAAGAAGACUUUUCUACAAAAGGACUUAUUGUUUGAGUAGGAAUAUUUCGGUUUUUCUCCUUCCCUCUUUUCAAUAAGAAGAAGUAUUUGAAACGAAGCAAAUUCCUCUUCAUUCUGUUGUGCUCAGUGAAGGAACUGCCUAAGCAUACUUUUGCGGAUCCAAACUUCUUUGUUCUUUCAAAGUCUUCUUCUUGCAUAUAAGAACGCAACUUUUGCAAUUCCUUGGAUUUGAGUAGUAAGCGGCAUCCCCUCUGAGUUGUGAGUAAGUGGAACCAUUCUUUUUUUGUUCUUCUCCAGAUUCUGGCCGGUAGGAAUUUGCCUCUUCUUUUUCCAACUGAUAUGGCCGAUAGGAAUUUGCCUAUGAUUUUUCCAACUGAUAUGUCGAUAUAGAAAGAUCUCCUUAUUUCAAAACCGCGGGUUCUCGCGUCAUUUUCUUUAAAAGAUAUUAGAUCACCAUGGGAAACUUUCAAAUGAGUAAUGGUCACCAGUCCAUUAUUCAAACAAACCCUUCGAUGACUUAUCGGCUGCCUUGCUUGAGGAAGAGUGUCACUAAAAUGGAGACGAACCGGAAUCACGUCCGAUCUUGUUUCUUGAUUGAGUAAAAAAGGGAUAUAUGAAGUUCGUUCUCUUCCUCUAUGCAUCUCCCUUAUGGGUAAAUCCCCAUAAUAAAGAGACAACUUUCGUGUAGUUUGUGAUUUGAUGUUACUGUUUAGAUUUUCUCUCCAAGAAAGAUUUCUUUUAAUGGAUCUCCUCUUGUUCCUCAAUCUUCGGAGAAUACGGCGUUGGAUUAGAGAAAGUUCUCUGUUCCGAACAUUUCCUGGAAGUAGACGACACGUUUUAAAUCUUAAUGCUGGCAUGGCAUAUUUCGUUGAAUCAGUCUUUUUCGCCACAUUGCGUAUAAAGGGAAUCGAACCCAACUCUUCCACGAACCCCCCACGAAUGGCCCUCCCUUAAUUCAAUGAACUAUGAGAAUUCCUUUUUUCAUUUUUUUCUUUUCAGUUCUCAUAAGUCCUUGAUUUACUAGCAGAAACUCAAUACUUGACCGACUGCGUCACAGUGCUCAGGUAAAGUGGCAGUGGUUGAAAGCGAGCGGAAACGUCAGUGUUUUCUGUGCGUUACGAUAGUAGUGGUGAAAUAAAAUCCAAUUCAAAUAUCUCAACGUAAAAGGAAAAUCGUUUCACUUUGAAAGGAAAGCUAGCUAUAUGAGAUCGAAAUCACUCUAUCUACGAUAUUCAUUGCACCAUGAUUGAAGGACAAUGAGGGGCAGGUUAUAUUCCCUUUCUUCUGAUCGAUUGAGGAAUCACUGAUAAUGACACCACAUCGGUAGCAUCUACUGCUAUUGCAAGGCCCGAAGCACGUGGGGAGAAUGUUCGUUUUUUCUGGAUCGGAUUAGCAAAAGCAAGCAAGCGUGUGAUGUGGCGGGGAAGCCUAAAAGAAGCCUUUGGGAGGCAGUGUGGUGACGCCUGUUUGGCGCGUGGGAAUUAACUAAUCUAAUGAUAUAUUGGUAACUGCCUGUGGGUCCGCACACCACUCCUUAUGUUCAGCUAAAAAGCCUUCCGGGUCGAAUUUAUUAAGAAAUAAUCAAAGAUUAGAAUGCCAAUGUGAAUUUAGGUUCAGAAGGAUCAAUAGCACAUGACAAAGUUCAAGUGUCUUCUCUUCAAGAGAAUAUAGCAUAAUUGUAGGAUUAUAUGGAUAUCAGUGCUUUUAUUCAAUUCCCGAGGCACUCUUCAACGAUUGAGGAGAUUCCCGAGGCAGUCUUAGUGCUAUCAUCAGGGUCACCAGCCUACUGUACCCCUUAUUCUGGCUUAGCCUUGCUUAAAUAGAAGAGGCUUGGUUAGCAUCCUUUCUAUCAGGUGCUGUUCUUUGCUACCAACAAUUCUUUAAGUACGUGGUGAAGUAAAUAAUAGUGCACUUGCUGACAGUAGAACCCCCAAGAAAUAUCACAGUAUAGGCCGAUAUCUUUGUGCAAUGUCAUUUACAAGCUAUGCUCCAAAGUCUUGGCAAAUAGGCUGAGAGAAGUACUGGAUGAGAUCAUUUCCGAGGACUUAUUAAAUAGGGGUGCUUUUUCUACGAAUAUAAUCAAUUCCAUAAUGCUAUCCGCUUUGACGAAGCAAAUCAGAUGACGGGCGAUCUACGCCUCGAAAAGGAGAAGAAGUGGUUCUCGAUACUGAGCAAAAAGUCACUUUCGAUGCAGAAAGUAGGAAACCAAGGAAGCAGGCAUUGGUAAAGAGUGAAUCUUUAUCCGAUCCUAUAAUGGCUCAAUCCGAUCCAACAACGGUAGUUCCAAAGGCUCCUCGGCUAAGAAAAAUAAUGGUUGUAUUGGCAAGGCAUGAAAGGGAUUUUCUAAUGCUAUCCGAAGACGAACCGGAAUACGAAACCGGAAGCCGUAGCCCAGAACCUUUAGCUUGAGCGGAAGGGGAGGAAACCGGCUAUUCGAACUGGCGGGUGGGUGGAUGCCCUAGUGCUUAUUGCUUUGUUGGAGCAGGGGCGGAGAGGGAUUCAUUAGUUUGACAACACAAGGGUGUCAUGUGGAGAAAGAGAAUGGAACUAUUCUCCGGGUACUGGUACCGCUUAAGCCCAAGCAAGUGAAGAAAUCCUAUAAGAUGGACUUGAUUUACUUUCCUUUCCAAGACCUAUACCAUAUGGUUUGGGUAUACCACUAUCACCUAUCGAAAUGAAACACUAACCUGCCCACGACCCCCUAUACCGGAUACCUUUGCUUUGAAACCAAUGACUAGUAGAGGAUUUCGAGGAACAACAGCAAAGGGAAGUAGGGAUGGGCUUUCCUCGGAUUAGUAUUUGUAUUUCGCUAGUCUUGCCAAUGGUUGUUAUUCAAAAGAAGGGUUCGCACUGGCAAAGAAGAAUAUAUUUUCUAGUUGUAGCUUUCGAGGAGAAGAAGGAUUGAAUCAAAGGGACGAGCAAAGGCAAAGCAAUGGCAUAUUUGGAAUUCCAUAGAGGAAUCCCCAAGCAAAGGCCAGGACGCUAAUGCUAACUCUAUUGAUAUUCCUAGCGCUUGUUUUCGUAGGAUGCCGAGGACUCUUGCUUGAAUACAACUAGAGAAUUAUCAAAAGAAUACGACUAGCUCUUUACCGCGGGGAUGCGUUGAGAGGAAUCAAUUGUUUAACCCGGUGACCGGAUAGGAGCCGUGACUGUGUGGGUAGCAUUAUCAAAAGAAGGAAAUUCGCAACGCUCUAAAUUUCUCUAUUUUGAUUCUUUUUUAGGGAUUGCGCCGUUACUGUACCUGCUUUCGCUAUUGCUGUUCCGCUUUGCCGUUAUCCGUCCCUUUGUUAGCAUAAUAGGAGGGUGCCUUUUUAGCGCAAGACGAUGAAAUAACAACCUAAGCUUAUCGACAUUAGCAAAUUGAGAAAUCGAAUAGAUCCCCGGCCGUUGGAUAGGAGCACUGUCGUUACCGUGCUUAGAAUUGAUGAAAUUGGAUUUCUUACAAAACCCAGGAUCUUCCUAUUCGUAGUUUUCUUACAAAACCCAGGAUCUUCCUAUUCGUAGGUGGUAUACAAGUACCCCUAUCCCUAUUGUUUUGAUACAUGGCGUAUUGUCUUUUCGUUUUUCUAGCUAAAGAUCCAUCUUUCCUGGAUUAGUGAUUACUUCAAUCCAUACCCCUAUGGAAUAAAAAAAAGCAAGGGCAGAGGGACCUGGAUUCGGAACCAGACAAUAAUUCGUAGGAACCACACCGGAUAGAGGGCCGUCCCUUCCUCUUAAGAGGUGUAAUUCUGUUUGGGGAUGACAUUAGAUAAUCCGAAUCGUAGUCCUCGCGGGAAUGGUCACAAAAUGCGAAGGAGUUUUGUUGUCGAAGCUGGGGAUCUAGAUAGGUACCGAUCUCGGUGGGGAUUUUCCUAUUUUUUCUAUGGAAUUUGUUUCAUUCCUUUCAUGCACAGAUGAACCUUCUGAGCUUUGGAAGUACCUUUGUCCUGGAGGAUUGUCUCGUGAUUGAGGGAUUUCUCUACAACUAUUGCGAUUAAAGACAUAUGCAAAUCCGAAACAGGGAAGUACGAAACUAAAGGGACUUUCUCUCGAUGAACUCCCUAGUUCCUAUGUUUGCUUUGAGGCAGUGCUAAUUGCUAAUGUGUGAACUAUCACUAUAUAAAAAUAGAUUGGAAUCACUUCUAACAUCAAAGAUAGGAAAAUCUGGCCUAUUGGGUGCCGAUCCACUCGAUCCUAUGCUAUGCAUUUGUGACCAAUAGAGGUAAGAUCAUGAAUACAAGAUGGCGAUGAGUCAUGCCAAGUUUGGGGAGUGUUGCUCGUACCCUCAUUGCAUGUUUUCAAAUAGGGCAUACUGCCUGUGAUUUACUAUUGAAAAACAAGUCGACAGGAGAACCCGAGUGCAACCAGAUAAGAGUUCGCUUUCAAAAGACGACAAUGGCAAGUCUCAAUCAACUGUCAUUAGAUCAAUAGUAAAUGGGAGAUUGCUUUGCAUAUCACGGAUCGAGCACACAAUAGAAUGCUCGAACUACACUCUCCUAGCAAAAGGCAGGGCAAGUGAGUUCUACACGAUAUUCGAUAAUGAAACGAGCCUUCCUCCUUCCGAAACCCACCUUAAUCCAUUUUAUAAGGAAUCUGUAUCCUUCCGUAAUCCAUUCCUCCAUCCCACACUCUUCUUAUAGUUAUGAGUGAAUCUGAAUCAAAAAAAAUAUAUACUAUACCGAAGACAAAGAGAAGACAUCAGGGAGCGGAGAGAGAAGAGAGCGGUUGUUGGAACAGCAAGCCCUACUUCCUUCACUGGGAAACUGGCACCAAACAAAAACAAAACUAGACUGCCCGAACAACAAGUCCUGCCCCUUCCUCCCGGAUCUGCACGUUGAACAAACAAAGACACUCCCCCUCAUCCGAAAAAAACGAGUAUUAUUUCUCAGCUGGCAACAAAGAAACGCCUAGCAGAAGAAAGUAGUUAUUCUUGCAUCUCUGCUACUAGGAAAGUAAGUCAUUGACAAAGGACCCAACCCUUCUGAAUUCGCUGAGCGAGACCUAAGAUCGGAAUGAACAGCAGUCGAAACCCUGAGCCCAUUGUGUCUGCCAGCUAUGCAAUGGCUCUACUUGAGAUUCCGUAGGGAGAGCAGUCGCUAACCUUUCCUUCGGUCAAUCACGAGAAAUUUGCGAAUCGAAUCCAUUGUCAUUAGAGUGAUCAACUAUAUACGCUAAUUAUUCAAACAGAUGCUCUCCGGUGGAAAUGAACCACAAGAGACUAAGCCCUGCCGACAGCAGUAGAAGCGUUAGCCACAGAGUGACUUUUUAAUUGACACCCACUAGUGGUCAGUUUCUACUUCCAAGUUGACUGGACCAGGUACCACAUUUACCAUAGGAUAUGCUUAUCUGAGGAGGUCCCUCGAGUCAUCUCUGCCACUUGGAAUUGCUUAUGAGCUGUUCUUAAAUGCUCUUCUUGGUAUGAAAUUGCGUACAUUCCUUAAGUCUUGCUUUCCUGAGAGCCCUCAUUUCAUAAAAUUCCACUGGCCAGUUAAUUCUUUAUGCUUAUUUUUCAAUGAAAGUUGCAUCCGAACAUGUUUCUCAACACGAAAAAGAAAGUCAUAUUGAGUUGUUAGAGAAAUCAAGUUAUAGCAAAAAUAGUGUACCAUCACAUGGUUUUGAUACUAAGCAGGAAAGUAUAGGAAUGCAAUGAGGAAAGACAGAUAAACACAUCGCCUCGUUUAAUACUUUCAAAGCAUCAGUUGAAUGACUAUUCUGCUCCAUUUGGAAAUACGCAAAAGUAUGUCCCUUAUUUGAGAUCUCUUAAGAUCAGCUAUUUGCUAAUAUGAUAAAGGUGGACGCUGUACUUGUCUGAAAACAGAAACUAUGAUGAUUCACAUUACUGGCUUGCUGUCCUUUGGCGGGAAAGCUAACAGGUGAACUUGCUCAACAUAAAGUGGAAGGAAAGUGUAGUAGAGAUAUUACUCGCUGUCUGAGAAGAUCUACUUGAGACCUCUAAACCAAAUUCAUUCCACAGGAACGAAAGCUGAAUGAAAGUACUCAAGCUUCAAACUCCUUGCUAACCGAUAAAAGGAAUCAAGCUUCAAGGACUAUAUGACUAGCUCUUCCACAUCCUCGCCACCAUUCAUAAGGCUUUCAAGGAAUAUUGAGAUAUCUACAGAAAAGAGAAACAAACAUUCUCAGUUGGUCCACUAUUAGCGAGGCCUAAAGUCUUCACUUCAUUAGUCUAGGAAUAACACUAAAGUAGCACCCCUCACUACAUUCUUGUUCACUGAACAUAGAUCUCUAAAGAACAGUGCACUGGUACACGAUAUGAUCUGUCGUCAUGACCCAUGAACUGAGCUUCUCACUAAUCGAAAUGGUCCUCUCAGCAUGUUUCAAGGGAAGCAAGAGAUCGUUUUCUCAGGAUAUUAGUCACCCAAUCUUCCCAAUAGUAUUCCUUAACUCAUGAAUUGAUACACUUGUUCAUUCUCUUUCUAUUUCCACUGGUUUCUUUUGUUCACUUGCAAUGCGGCAUUUGAAUCCAUUUUACUCCACUUCUCUCUCUUUUCUUCCUGAUGAGGGUGAUGUACUCCGGGUACCUGAUCAUCAUGACUGGAAUUCCAGAGGAUUCCUUGAGUACUCGUUACUUCGAGGUCAAAUGGUGCGAUGGUAUUCAUCCAAAGUAGGAAACUGGUAGCGACUUGCAUUUGAUGGACUCUUUCUUCCUGUAGGAAUAGGGGAGAGUGGUAACAUGAGCCACCUUUCCUUUAUACAGCAGUAAUAGCACAUGCAAGUUCCUAGGGUCUAUAUAGCUAGUCAAGGAUCAUAAAACAAUUAGCAAAUCAUCAUGUGGAAUGAUGUAAACUAGCCUAAAAAAGUGAAAGAAGCCCUCAUACCCACUCCUCUUUCCCCACCAAACCAACAAGUAGUAGGUUGGUGGGCCUCGGUAUCUCUAUUUGCUAAGAUGGAUACCUACACCACCCAAUAGUUCCAAUGCAUUGUUUUUUAUCCCAUAGGAAAGAAAAUGCUUCAAGCUAUUUUGUCCUUUCCUCCUCCGUCAUACGACGGUCUUCACAACCUUCCACCGGAGGCUUUUCUCUGUUUUCCUCCUCCGUCAUACGAUGGUCUUCACAACCUUCCACCGGAGGCUUUUCUCUGUUUUCCUCCUCCGUCAUACGACGGUCUUCACAACCUUCCACCAGAGGCUUUUCUCUGUUUUCCUCCUCUUUAGCCAUUGCUUCUUGAAUCAUAUCUUUGAUCUUCUUUAGGGGCAAUUUAAACAUGUUCGCAUCCCGCGGGAAGCGAAAAGCCAGAAAUAGAAUUUCCUCAGGUUUAAGAACCAAAAGGAGUUUAUCCAGAUUUGGUACCAAACCCGGGAAAAACCCUAAACAAGAUCUUAAAAAAUCUUUAUAAGCAGGGUUAUAGGAAUCCUGAGAUUCCCCUCCCUCCGCUUUGGGUGGCUUCCACUGCUUGCGCGAGUGAGCAAUUAUAUUGCGGAUAUCCCCCAGUUCCAAGAUCUCGAGCAGAGAAAAGUCCCGGGGGAACGUGUGCACCAUGAAUAGGAUCUCCUCAGGUUCCGAGAAUGAAAGAAGUGAGUCUAUCUUGCACUCUAAACCAGGGAAAUCUUUAUAUUCCGAGCACAAAAGCCACCCCUUAAAGGUUUCUUUGUAAUUGUCAGGCGGUCCCCCUGCUCCGGAGGAGAAGCUUCUUCUAUGGCUAUGGCCAAAAGGAGAAAUAGUCCUGUUCACUAUAUGGCUAUGGCCAAAAGGAGAAAAGGAUCCGGUGCAAUGAGUCUCAUCCGUGUAAUAUUUUGGAAUUCCUCUUCCAACUCGUCCUGGAAUGGGUGUUAUGGCAAAGAACAAGAAGAAAAAGACAGAAGGAAUUUGUCCAAUAGUAACAAAUGGUGCCUCCACAGGUUGACAUCCGAUCCAACCUAGUAGUAAGCAAUCCGCCAAAAGCAACCAAAAUAUUCCUUCGUGAAUCGGUCGAAAACUUGAACUACGCACAUACAUUUCUUUAAAAAAAGGUAAAGCCAAGAGAGAUGUAAAAACUGGUGCUAUUGCGGCUACACCUCCCGCUUUGUCAGGUAUACUGCGAAGAAUGGCAUGGAUUGGUAGGAAAUACCAUUCCGGCACAAUAUGAGGCGGGGUGGGCAUCGGAUUAGCAGGUAUAUAAUUGUCGGGAUGCCCCAAAACAUUAGGAGCAAAAAAAAUCCAAAUGGAAAAAAAGAUAGCAGAAGCUACCCGACCUACAAGAUCCUUUACAUAAAAAUAAGGGUAAGAAGCAAUUUUAUCCAUCUCAGAAUGUACACCCAAUGGAUUAUUUGAUCCAUAUUGAUGCAAUGCAG